GAAAAAUUGUAGAAACUUAUUAUUUAGACACUAAAAUAAGCUUUAAUCAUUUAGAUAUUAAAUUGUUGGAUUAUAUAAAGUCAUGUUCCGAGUCGAUAUCACGGUGGAAACGUCGAAGAUUUGAGGUUUCUGGAUGUUGGGUACUGGUACUUGAAGUUUUAGUACCGGUACUAUUGAGUACCUCAGCAGUUACUCAAAAUUUGAAAGCUGAAAAACUAUUUUUUGUAUUGAAUACCGAUACGCAACUUUGAGUACGGUACACAAUUCCGCGAUGGGUCGGAUAUGUAGAGUUUGACUCUAAUUAGAUAUAAUCUUGUUCCAAAAGAUUCGGAAUGGUAAAAGUGGUUUCUUAGAGGAUAUCGACGAUUAGAUGUGAAUCAGAGACUCGGAUGGAAGGCGGAGAUCGUUUCCUACUAAAAUUAGAAUUUUAGGGUUAUAUUAACUCUUGUAAUUAAUCUUUUAGGUUAUGGACUUCAUUAAAGACACCUCAAUUGAGAGGAAAACUUGGAGAGCUUCUGAGAGAGAGUUUCUUGUAAUCCAAUUUACUUCUUUGUACUUUUGUGUCGUAGAUUAAUUGAAGAAAGCAUUGAGGAUGGUAUACCAUGGACGUAGGUUGACUCAUCGUUGGCUGAACCACAUAGAUUUUGUGUUCUUGUGAUCUUUUACUUUCUUUAUUGCUUUGCUAUCUUCCUGCUUAUUUUUCUACCAUCAUUAUUGUCUCUUACGUUUAUGAAAGAUUCUGUUUCUGCUACGCUCAUGUGUUGUAUGGAUUUGAGUUGUGCUUGGUAACCCAACGGACGUUCCCUUCAUAAAUCUAUAUCUAUACUAUAUAUAAAAACAGAUAGAAAAUUUUCAAUUGACAAUCGAAUUUCUAGAUAUAAUAAUACAAUGUUCCAUAUACAAAAGGAAAGAAAAUUUUAAGUAAUUAACUAGCUAAUUAAAAAUAAAUAGGUUUGAAAAAUAGAAGGAUUUAAAAUAGACCUAUCAAAUCAAGAAUUUUUUAAAUUCAAAUAAUGCAUUUAAAAUUAAAUUCAAAUUUUGAGUUUGAUAAAUAACUUUAAUUUAUAUUUUAAAAUUAAAUUCGAAAUUUUAAUUUUUGAGUAUAUAUAAUAAAAUUGUAUGUUAUGGAGUACAUAUAAAUAAUAUUUACAGUGUAACUAAAUUAAAAACAUACUUAAAAAAAAAAAAUCAGAUUUACAAAAUAAAUCAAUUGAAAAAUAUACUGUGCCACCUAUAACCAUUUAAAUUCAAAAUUCAGGUCAAAAUUUAUUUUCAAUUAAAAUUCAUAUUUAAAUUAAAUUAAUUUAAUUUAUAAAUGUGAUGUCCAUCAUACGAAUUCUAUAACUAGUAAUCCUAAUAAAGUUGAAGGUGUAGGAAAAAACCCCUAUCUGUAACAUUAAAAAGAAGUAUGGAAAAUUUAUGAAUUUUGAUAUAUAGUGCCUAGAAUGUGCAGGUCACAUCAAAUUAUUAUCAUUAAAAUUUUAACUUAUGAUAAUCUUCAAAAAAAAAAGUAGUUCGUUAGGCGAACAACUCUGUAUCUUUUAUGGGAAUGAACCUGAAAUAUGUGAUCACUUGUAGUAUGUCAAUGAGUACAAAUAUCUGCGAUCUUAAUUACUUGAACUUCAACGCGAAUAUGAUUGUGUUUAACUGAUGCUAAAUGGAUAUAUUUUUAAUAAUAGGUAUAAAAAAGUUGACAGAUAUGGGAUCAAAUAUGAUUUUAUCUGUAUCCGACUCGAACCUAAACAAAAAUGCCAAGGAUUCAACUAAUUCGGAUUUCAAUAGUCCGGUUUGCAUUCAAAGUUUUAAAAAUCUCUUCCGAAUCUGAUCCGUUGGCAUCUCUAAGCACUUGUACGCAAGGAGUACAUAUACAUAUGGUUUAUACUCUCAUCUGCUGAGACAAAGACUAUCAUAUGCCAGAGAACACAAAAGAAGUGCAAGAACUAUGGAAAAGUUGACCUUAUAAAGAGAAGUAUAUAAUCAAAAAGAGCCCCACUACAUUAACGGCCACUUAACAUGUGAUUUAGUUAAAAGGGAACCAAGGGGCCAGCAUUCUGCUCUGUGGCAGUCAGACUGGAACGAGUUACGUUCGCAAGGGCGUAAGACUGAUUCGGCCGAAUUACAAUCGAGAUCCGUAAAAACUGUAUCUAUAUCCUUAAGUGAAUUGAUUGCAUUUUUUUAACAGCUCAAGCUUUUAGGACUAAUGAUUAGCGCCAAUGAUCCAACAGAUAAUUUAAUUACUAUAUUAAUUCUCUCAAAAUUCGAUUUUCUAUUUCAUGUAAGAUACACAGAAAAGUUGUAACUAGCCACCACAUGCAUAUCCACACAUAUGAAAACAGUGGUUUCUAGAUUUUUCAAGGUCUACAUUCUCGAAUUUUAGAUGAGGAAUCCAUGAUGGACCCGGUCCAUGCAAUAAUUCACAGCAUAAGUGGGUGAUGAGCAUGUGACACCUCUCAAGUACCACAACCCCAUUAUCACAACCCCCACUCUAAUGGCCUAAAAUUAUUCCCAAAGAAAGCCUACGUUCCUUAGGCUCUUCCAUUCCUUUAUAAAUUUUCCCUCUAUCAUGGAUGGACGAGGACAAAGAAAGAACAAAGAGAUGGAACCCUAGAGACCCUACGUGUCUAUUAGCAUUAGCAUAAAGUAUGAUGUAGGUUUGUUAGGAUUGCAUUUUUUUUUAUUUUUUUUAUUUCUUAAUAUCAUCUUUUCCACCUUAGGGAGUGUAAAUAGCUGCAUAUGGUUUGCAACAGUGUGAUCUUAAGUGGUCCACAAAAUCUAAAGUUCCCACAUAUAUACAUUAUAUAUUUUAGAAUCCUUUCCCCAUGGUCCUGAGCUCUAUUAUUAACAAUCACCAAUUGCACACAAAACAGCAAAAAGCAUAACUCAGGUAGUCAUUUUUUAUACUAUAAGCGAUUCCGAGACGAUAUGAGACUACACGGGACUUGGACAUAUCACGAACAAAAUAAUUUGCCAAUUUUGAAAAAAUAAAAAAAAAAAAGAAUUUGAACACGAAAGAAACACAGCAUUUUGAUGUCAUAAAUGAUACAUGCAUUCUCAUUUUCUUCUAACAAAUAAUGUUCUAACUAUUGUUCUAUAGCGUCCAAAGAGCACUUGAUCUUCUUCCAUAAUCAACAGACAAUAAAAUUAAACAUUUAUAUUCAUUUAUUUAAAACAUAUCAAUCUCAGUUAAGAUUUAGCCAUGGAAUGUAAAGUAACACAAAAUUAAUUUAUAUGAUCACAUAAAACACUAUGUAUACAAAAUUUAUAUACAUGUAUAAUAUAAAUAUAUAUAUUUUUUGCAUGUACUGCAUACAAAAUAUAUCUACAAGUAAAACCCAAUGCAUACAAUGCAAAUGCUGUUGCACUAAUGGUAAUGAAAGAAAGACACUAUAGGAGAUUGUUUGUGCACAAAUACGAUACUGGGAAAACUUUAAAAAACAGCAUUUUUUUUUAUCUAAAUGACAUUUUACUUAAAUGUAUCCACUACAACAGAAUUAGGUUAUAAAAACAUAUUUUUGAAACAUUUUUUAUAUAAAUUACCCAUUUAUGCUAAAACUUUAAAAAAAUUCUACUAAGGCCUAAAUAGAAAGCCCAAUCCAACCAAAAAUAAAAAAUUACUCUACUCAACCCACCCCACCCAACCCACCCCACCCAGCCCAGCCCAUUUGUCCCGAUUACAAGCAAAAAAGAAAAAAAAAAAAUAUAUCGAUCACCAUCUCCUCUUUCCCCCUCACUCAAUCCACUAAAACUCUAGAUGAAAAGCCCCUUGCUCUCCUCCUCCGCGCUGCAGUCGAUACUAAAUGCUAAAUGCUUAAAUAAGUGUUGGUAAAUUAGUAUCAUUCUUUUUCAAUUAUACCGACACUCUUAAACUGUUACUAUAUGCCUAGCGACCCCAUAUAUAGCAAUACUUUCUAAAAGUGUCGGUAAUUUAGCUAGCAGCAUUUUUUUUUAUCUGUAUCGACAUUUAAAAUGUUGCUACAUACCGUUUUUGUUGUAGUGAUCCAUCUCAAUUCUGCCAAUAUUGUACUUCAUCAAUCUAUUUAUUUAACUUAAUCUAAGAAAAUUUAAAGUGACAAACAAGUAACCAAACCAUUAAACAAAACAAAAUCAUCUCAACAUCUUACCAUACAAAUGUAUCAAUUUUGAUCAGUAAAAACUAUGCAUCAACUUCUCUUUUCUGAUAGUUUUUGUAAAAUGUGCAGUUACCAAUAGUAUAUAUAACAAAUAAAAUCAUUUCACAUAAUCACAGAUCAAAUCAUCAGUUUCCCGUUAAGUAAAGCUAGAACUGAUGAUUUUAUAAUACUAAAACAACCAGGAUUAAUAGCAGUCCACAUACACAUUAUCAAGCUUCCAGGGAAAAAACAUACAGAUAUACCUUUCCAUUGUGCUGCUAGCAUAUAGUAAUUUUCAAUUUCAAUAAUUGUGAAACAUAAAUGAUCGACGCUAAACAUUCGAUUAACAUUGUUAUUUUGAUAACAAAGAGACAAUGCAUAUAUCCAUUGCAAUGUUAGUAAUCACAAAAGGAAAUUAGAGGAGAAUACUACACUCGAAGUUUUAACUUGUUGGGCAUGAGUUUUCACCAAAGGUGGCUUGUAAUAAAACACGCCAAAAACAAUUGCAGAGCUAUUUGCAUAUUACCUUCUACGAAGACCUAUAUCUUGAUAAACAUAUAUACAAGAGAACGACAAGAAUAACGAUCAAAGUACGAAGGCUUUCGUUGCCUUAAAGGACACAUCAUUGAAUGUAUUAUAGAGAGAAUAUUAAUUGUUUGAGUCGGAACUGUUUUUAUGCAUCAUGAAAUAAUAAGGUAGUACUACACGUUGAACCCAAACCAACAACUUGAAAACUCAUAGAUGCAAUGUUCCACCUAUAAUACAUAUUGAGGACUUUCUCAGCAGUUGGACAUAGCCCUUUGCCCUUUAUAUUCUAGCAUAUGUAGAAAGUUUGACAUGAUAUCCAUUCGGAAAUUUACUGAUCACAAAGGUAUUGACGUUACACAAUGAUAAUAUGUUUACAGUGCCUAAUAAUAGAACUUAGUGCAAUCUAUGUACUAUAUGAUUACAAAUAGCAAACAAAUCGUGGCGCAUGCUAAUUUCAAUCCUGUGCUUUUACUGUGUUAAACAGCUUGGGACGUACAAACAACUCGCAGCAGUAAGACGACAUUCAUAAUUUGUAUGGUGAAAUGUCAUAUAAUAACAAGGGACCAAUCAAAAACUUUAAUGGUGAAAUGUCAUAUAAAAACAAGGGACCGAUCAAAAACUUUAAUUAAUCAAACAGACACAUACUAGGGUACCACAUACACACACUGAGCCACCCGAAAUUAAUGACUUUGAAUACAUCCAUCUCCUCCGUACUUCAUGACUUCUGAAGGAAAAAACUAUCUGGCAUGAUAAUUUUAAUAAUCGCUACCGAGACUUGUGCUAUAUGAAAUGGAAAAUUGAAAGUUUUCAAAAUCAUUUCGGCGAAAAAUGAAAAGAACAUUAGCUCUAAAAGAAAUCUCAUUAUUGGUAAAGAGGAGAAGUAGAAAACUAAAUGCAAGGGCUCUAGCUAUUCUCGCAAAUUACAACAAUGUUGAAAUUUUGUUUUAUUGUUUUUCUCUUGUGCAAGUAAUGUACAGCACAAAGUUGUGUUAGUCAGAAACUUACAUGACAGACAUGGAACCCUCCUCCAUUUGCAAGCACUAACCAAAAAUUGAACUUAUAAUGGACAGUAAUAUAUACAAGAUUAAUACAAGAUGAACUUUCCAAACAUAUAUAGUUGUAGCAAGUUUAAUUGACUUCGCAUAUAGUUAACUUCGGAUAUCAUUUUUUCGCAUACUGAUUAUUGAACAAAAAAUCAGUUUCAAACAAUCCACAGAAAUUCACUUAUUAGUGAGUGGAACAACAAAAAGAUCUGUCAUUAAAAGCCACAAAAUGUUUUUGUCACAGAAACCAUAAAUUUUUUUACUCAUGAUGACUACUAUACACUAUGUAGACUAGGGCUCAAUUGUUUCCAUUAAUCUAUGAGCCCUCAAAUUAUUAUCCCUACAUAUCCGUUACAAAUAGACACAUACCAAUUUGCUGAAUAGUAAACUAUUAUUUAAAAUAACGAAACUAGGUUUUUGAUCCGUUCAAGCUCUAUAUAACAGCUAAUUCACCAUCAUUAUUAAUUUCAAUAGUUUUACUUAGAUUUGUUAUAUCCAUGAUAUGGUACAAUAAUACAUGUCUCUCUAGCACACAACAUGUGACAGAAAGAGGUGCACAAAUAAUUUAAGCUCUAUUUUGGAUGCUGUCUGAAGAAUAUAUAUAUAUAUAUAUAUAUAUAUAUAUAUAUAUAUAUAUAUAUAUAUAUAUUCUGACUAUAGAAUGUAUGGAAGAAAUGUGCAUAAAAUAUAUUUACACCAAAGCUUGACAACUCAUUCCUGACUUAAUUUUGUCACAAGAAACAAUCCAUCUGCAAAACAGCUAAAACCACAAACAUAUAUUAAAAUAUGCAAAGCAUAAAGAUUACUUAUAUCUAUUAAUAUGUAUUAAAUGUGUCUCCAUGAAAACAAGCGACAGUUACCUAGAAAAGUAGGAACAGUAUCAUGACAAACACUCAGUAGAGAGAGAGAGAGAGAGAGAGAGAGAGAGGAGGCACGACAUUUCAAGGGCCAGGGAAACAAACCGUAGGCAGGCACUGAGGAGAUGUGAUAUAUGUGGUAUUAAUCACGUCCUACAGUAUGAGGAUUUGACAAAUUUCAAUUUUGUUUUUCCUUAAACAAUAAUAGGAAAAACACAAUAAAAUAAGUUGAAAAGGAACACAAAUUAGACUUACUACUGAUGAACAAACAAACCCAGUUGUUUUCUUCCCCUAGACAUGUAAUACGCCAAAACAAGAGAGAGAAAAAACAAAAAAAAAAAAGGCCGAGUCAUAUAUUAAGCAUGUGAUACAAAGUCACAAGUGUAGAUGAGAAACACUGCAUGAGAUGUUUGAGUCUCUCUCUCUCUUAAAACUGCUAUAGAGCUAAUACCCAUUCGAAAAAGAAAGAAACCAUUUUUUCAGGCGAGGAACAGAAUUUAAAGGAAAAAAAAAAAAAAACAAACUUAUAUACUAAAGAGUAUGAUCUGAGUAGUUAGAUUCGCUUUAUAAAUUUGUAAGACUCAUAGGAAUGAUGAGAUUAUAAUAAUCUUUUAGUUGUAUAGUAAUUCAAUUCGUUGGUUCCAUAAACAUGUUUGAAGAAGUAUAAAUUAUUAGUCAUAGAAUAAUCAAAAGAACGCAUUGGCACCGAGAAAAAGGAACGCUAUCUGUCAGGUUAUUCAUUGCCGAAUGAAAGAUGAGAAAGAUGCGGCAGUUACUAACUUACUAUCCCCUCUGUCUCGGUUCAAAAGAUCACAUUCGGAACGAGUCUAAUUAAGUUAAGAAAAAAAAUAAUAAUAAUAGUAGUAGUAGUAGUAGUAAUAAUAAUAAUAACGGUGCACGAAUUCAUGAAAAGCAUGAAAAUAUACUGUAAAAGCCUAAUUAAAGAGAAAGCUCAGCGAGAAAUUAAAAUGAACCGAUCUGAGUUGUUUUCAGGAUCUUGGGUGGUGGUGGUGGUGGUGGUGGUGUUGCUGAGGGAAAAACUGCGUCCCCGCCGCGAACGCGCUCAGCGGAGUCGGGUAGGGGUCCAUCACCGCCGCCGGCGCCGCCGCUGCGGAAGCCGACGUUAUUGCGGCCUCCGCAGAAGCUGCUGCGGCAGCGGCAGCGGCAGCGGCGGAAGAAGAGGACUCCCCGGGUUGCGGUGGUUGGGUAUGGUAAUGGUAACCCGAAUACGAAUAUGAAGAAAGGUCGGGGCCUUGGUCGCGCAGGAUGCCCUUGAACACGUGGCCGCCGAUGCUGACCGUGGCUUGGUAGGCGUACUCGUCUUCCGCCUCGUCGACGGGCCCGAUGCGGACGCAGCGGAACACCGCCUCCGAGCUCACCUCCGCCGGGAACCGCGCUUCCACUGCACCCGCCCCUAGGCCUCCUCCUCCUCCUCCUCCUACACACCAGCAGCGCAAACGAAUUACGAGAGACAGAUAAAGGGGAUCGAACAGCAGCAGCAGCAGGUAGCUAGCUAGCUUGUUCUCCAUCCUCAUCGAAACACGCAAAUGAUUUGCGGCAACAGUAGCGAGAUGAGAUAGUGAACAGUGGUAGUAGUUAGUAGUAGUGGUGGGUGCAGUGAUGAUGAUGAUGAUUGAUGAUGAUGAUAAUAAUUGUAGCAGUAGUAUAGUAGUGGUGGUGGUGGUGGUGGUGGUGGUAUAGUAGCUAGUACGUACCGGAGGUAGAGGGAGGGGGGAGGGAGGAGCGGCGGUCCCUAGGGCGGCGCUUGGAGGGGUCGGCGGGGGAGGAGGAGGAGGGGAGGGCGGCGAGCUGGAGCUGGUGCUGAUGCUGGCGAUCGCGGCGCCUGGCGGCGGGGACCCACGUGCUCUUGACGUGCGUCGCGCAGUGGAACCCCCGGCUCUUGCAGCACGUGCGGCACCGCUGGUGCGCGCAGUCUUUCUUCGCCUGGUUCCCGCAGUCCUGGCAGCUCACCCCACUCCCGCCCCCGCCUCCGUAUCUUCCGCCCGACUGCCCCGACCCCGACGCCGACGCCUCAUGAGAGAAGCUCAGAAUCGCGCCGCUCGAAGAAUAGAAUUGCGCCUGCUGCUGCUGCUGCUGCUGCUGCUGCUGUUGCUGUUGCUGUUGCUGCUGCCAUAGCUGAAAACCGCUGGUGCCGGUGCCGCCGGCGCGGGCGUAGAGGAAGAAGGUGUCGGGCGGUAGCGGAUUCUGAUCGUCUCGACUCGUCGGGAUAUGGCCGCUGCUCCCUCCUCCUCCUAGAGGGAACCCAGCCAUUCCCCCCAAUCCAUAGACCUAUUCUCCUCUCCCCCCCUCCCCUCCUACUCGCAUCAGAUCUCAAUAAUAACAAUACCCCCAAAAACAAUCCUACCUAGUCCUCUUCUCUUCUUCUUCUUCUUCUUCUUCUUCUUCUUCUUCUUGAAUUUUGUUGUUUCUUUUUUCUUUUCUUUUUUUUUUUCCUUUUCGGCUCUUUUAUUUUGCCCCUUAUUGGUUUAUAGUAGCAGCAGCAGCAGCAGCAGCAGCAGCAGUAGCAAUACUAGUAGUAACUCGUCUCUGCCCCUUCAUAAAAUUCCCCCCCCUCUCUCUCAUUCUCAAAAGAGCACAGCUCUAGAUACAUAUAUAAAUAUAAUAUAUAUAUAUAACAUACAAGAAGCCAAGAGGAUCAGGGACCGCCACGCCGCCAUGGAGCACGGCUAACGCUCGCAAUUCCAUUUAUUACUACUACUCCUCCCCCCACAACCAUCUUACUUAAUCCACCCCUUAACGUCCCCCCCACACCCCACACCCCCACAAGAAGGCAAAAAAAAAAAAAAAACCCUACCCAAUCAAGAAGGAGAAGGAGAAGAAGAUUAAAUAAAAAAGAAAAUAAAUAAAAGGAGACAUUAAAAAAAAAAAAGAAAAGAAGAGAAAAGGAGGAGGAGAAGAAGGAUAAACGAAGGGAAUGGGAGAAAUAAAGGCGCGUGUCUUUCUGCGGCUUCUGCUGUGAACCUUUACGGCUAGAAAUCUAACAUUAACCUUUUCUUCGCGAGGUCCUGUACGCGGGGCGAUCGUGGCCGUCCGUGGAUGGUCGGACGGCGGAUGGGGGGGGGAUGGGGUGGGGGUGGCUCAGCAUCCGUCACCGUCUUCGACCGCCAAAAACCGCCUGCUUUUUCGUGAACCCUCCCUACUUAAUGUCGCUGUUCCUGCCACGUUCAAAGUCGUCGAACCAAUAUUAUGCGUGCGCCGGUAUAUAGACCCGUUUUACGUGCAGCACCGAAAACUCUCUCUCCCUCUUUUUUCUUUUUUCUUUUUUUUUUUUUCGGUAUCAUUGAAGGGAAAUAGCUUAGAUCAUUUGUUUUCUAAUGGUAAAACAAAACUAUCUUUUAAAAAAAAAAAAAGGUUGUGUAAAAGUUCUGAGUUUGAGUUUAAAUAAGAAGGCUCUGGUAACAUCGUAAAAAGUCAAAUUCUUCAUUCUCAAAAAAAAAAAAAAACAAUUGCUCCCACUACAACAUAUUACAUGAAAUUUAUACCUAACCAAAUCUAUUUAACCAUGUGAAAAUGGUAAAGAAUAUCACUAGGAAUAUCUGUGUAAAAUAAAUAACUAAAAUUAAAGCAAUUAUUUAAACCUAAUUAAUACAACACUUAGAUUUCAAGUUUUAAGAAGAUUAAUUUUUCAAAACCCUUGUAAAAGGGUGUAGUUUCAUAUAUGGCCCACCAAAUUAGAAAGUAUCGUUAACAAUAGUUUUAUAUGUUUAGAAAAAUAUUGAUAAUAUUUAGAUUCUUGAGGGGUAUCUAUGAUAUUUUAAAGUUUUUAGAGAAACGGGUUUGAAAUUGCCCCAAUUAAGAAUGACCUUAUUCUAUUAAGAUAAAUAGUCAAUUUAUGUUUAAUUUUUGUUUCUGUUUACUAUCUAGAUAAUAAAAUUUAAUACAUAUUCAUGUCAAGUUUGGGAAUUAAAGACAAUUCACAUCAAGUUGUUUAUAUUUAAAUUUUUAGGCUUCUAAUUUAAAGUUUUCAAGAUAAAAUUGUCUAUGCAACUGCCACUUUUAAAACAUUUAAUUUGAAAAAGACUACUUAUACUUUUUAUACACCUAGUAAUAAAAUAUAAGAUUUAUACUCCGUGUUUCAGAAAGUAUAAAUAAUCUUUUANAAGACUACUUAUACUUUUUAUACACCUAGUAAUAAAAUAUAAGAUUUAUACUCCGUGUUUCAGAAAGUAUAAAUAAUCUUUUAAAUUUUUAGUAUUAAAAAAUUAAUAAUAAAAUUAUAUAUAUUUUUUUUGAGAGAAAGAUAGUACGUUACCCGCUUCAUUCAUUUAACAAAUAAAUUUAGCUACAGGGGUUGAGACAAUGCGGUCUCGAAAAAUAUUGAAGGCAACCAAAACAAAAAAGAUAAAUAAAAACUAAAAUAAAAAACUAUAAAAAAUUGAUAUUUGUACUCCUGACUCAAAACUAAGAUAUUAAGAGCUACAAAACUCAGUUUAUUUUCUGCUCACGUUUCGUAUUCGUCUAAUAGUUUAAAAAAGAUGGAAUGAUUGGCUUGUAGAUUAGCACGGUGUAAGAUUCAUAAACCCUACAACGUACAUGUUGCACCAAUCCUUUUUAGUUUUUAAUAGGAUUAAACGUUAAUUUCGGUCUAUGGACCUGGUCGAGGAAAUAUAUUCUUGUGUGAGAGGGUUAGAGAAAACAAGGGUCUUUUUCUCUCUCAUUCACCCAAAAGUAGAUACGCGUAUUGAAUAGGACGUGUACGAUACUACGAUCUCCUUAUGCUAAUCUUUCAUUUCCAUUUUAAUUUGAUGGGAUAAUUUUAUUUGUAUCCUUGAGAAGUUCAAAAUUAUUGUAAACGCCUCUACAAAAGUUGUAAUAUCAAAAUUAUCCCCGCAAAUAUCUAUUUAGUUAAUCUUAAUUAUAUUAUAGUAUAAUGAAGGUUAAGAAUGAAAUUAUCCACUUUAACAUGGUAAGGGGCAUAUAUAUUGAUGUAUGUGGCCCACUUCUUUUUUUUCUUUAAUUUUUAUCCAUUCAAAUUUCAUUUAUUUUGAUCUCAAAUAUUAUAAUUAGUUAAACAAAAAAUUUAAUUAAUAGGUUAAUUAGCUAUUAAUAAUUAACUAUUAAAUGAAUUUAUGCUAGUUUCAACUCAAAAUUAAUUAGUCAAGGAUAUUAAAUUUAAUAGAAUAGUUAUCUUACCUUGUGAAAUUUUUAUCUUUUCAAUUUAUUAUUUAAAAUUAUUAUUUUCAUGCAAAGUCCAUUGAUUACGAGAAUUUAGUUUGUCUUUUCAUAAUGCAACUAAUUUUUUUAUUUGAUUUCAGAUCUUAUACUAAUGUUGUUCUUAGUUAUAAUAUAUUCAUAACAACAAAUUUUCUCUACACUAAGUAGUCAAAUAAAAGUUGUUUAUUACUUUACAAUCGGUGCAGCAAAAAACUAAAUAACUAAAAUGAAUUAUCCUGUCAUUCUGACAAUAAAGCAAAAUAAAAUUUAAUUUAAGAACAAUUUAUUCCAAAUAGAAAAUUUUAUUUAAUUGAAAUGAAUAUAUUUUUUUCAACUAAAAUCAAUUGAAAUUUACUAAAUUUUUAGUCUAUAUAAAGUUUAAUUACUUUUGAAAUAUAAGGGAGGAUAUUUAUGAAAUAAAAUUAGUAAUUGAUCAGGGAUAAAGUUGAAAUAUAAAUACUAUUAACUUUAAUAUAGAUGAUCACUUAAUGGCAGGGUUAUUGUUGAAAGUUUCUUAAAUUUGAGGGGUUACAAAUGAUAUUUUAAUUUUAAAAGGGGUUCUUAUAAAAUUUGAUGUUUUUAGAAGGGUAUAGGGAAAAUUUUCCCUAAUUUGAAUAUAUAUAUAUAUAUAUAUAUCCAGUGAGAUGAGAACGGGAAACAGUGUGGAGUAGUACCCACGGUGUUGUGCACCCACUAAUUUCUUUAGUACGGAAUUUUGCAUACUAAUAAAACCGAAUUAAAUUGAUUAAUUGUUCGAGGGUUCAAUAAUCAACAACCAAGUUUCUAACAAUGUUAAAUAUAAAUAUUUAAAAAUACCGUCAUCUCAUAACUUAGAUUUUUUAAAAAAAUAAUAAUUUUUUAUUAUUUAAUAUGAUAGGAGAAUAGAAAAUUAUGAUUUUGAAUCGCGUUGGUUUUCCAACAAAAUUAAUUUUUUCUUAUUUAAUUUAAAUCUAUGUCAUAGGCCAGCUAAAAAUAUUGUUCUUUUUUAUCUUAGGCUUUUAGAAAAAAAAUGAUCAUUUCAUUUAAUUUACUACUAAGAAGAAAUAAAUUUUUUGCGUAAUAUAUGGAGAUUUUUUUCACCAUACACAUUAAUAAUAAUAAUAAUAAUAAUAAUAAUAACCAUAAUUUCAUGCGCAUAGGAUCAGUUGUAAUUAUCUAUUUGACUCGGCUUUUGACAUUGCGGUGUUACCCACAAUAGUGAGAUAGAAAAUUAAGCUCCGAAUUUGCAGGUUCAUGUAAUAGAAAAAAUGUGUUACGCUAGAAGGCAAGUAAAAUAGGUUUAUAUAUAGGCCUAGUUGUCUCGACCUUUCAUGCAAUUACUGCAUAUGCUUAUAACGCAAAUAAGACAUUUUACCUCCGAAUUUGAAUUACAGGGUUGGUUUACUGUUACAAAUUAAAUACUACGUACAUUUCGUCACAGCACCUCAUGAUAUGGUGUCUUUACUCUCUCUCUCUCUCUCUCUCUCUCUCUCUCUCUCUCUCUCUCUCUCUCUCUCUCUCUCUCUAUAUAUAUAUAUAUAUAUAUAGAGAGAGAGAGAGAGAGAGAGAGAGUCCGGCUAAUAUGCUUUUUAUGAAUAUAUUUUUUUGUAUUCAUAAUUUUCGACCGUUAGGUCUACUCGUUUGACCAUUUUCAUUCGUGAAAUUAUACUAUUCAACGAACCACCCGCUAAAUCCUAUGAAAUCAUUAUCAUUUCAAUCGGGGACCACUAUCAUCCAAAUUGCACAUCUUUUCAUUGAAUGAUCGAAAAUUCAUGAGUAUCGAUCGAUAGUAUCAAACACUUUGUACUAUCGAGUUUUCCGCCGUUAAAUCUAUUCUUUUGACUAUUUUCAUCCGUUGGAUCAUGCUAAUCAACCAACUAUCCGCUCAACCUUAAGGGGAAACACUAUCAUCCUAAUUGCACAUCCCUUUAUCCAAGGGUCGAAAACCUAACAGCACAAAGUGCCUGAUACCAUCAAUAGUAUAGUAGCCUUAAGAUAUGGUCGGGGUGCUGAAUUUAAACUUACCAGAUUAACUUUUGGAUACUAAUUAAGUAGACCUGUAUUAACAGUUUUGGAAGAAUAAAAUUAACAGUUUUAAUCACUUCAUAAUAAAAUAAAAUUACUGAUAAUAUCUAAUUAAACUUUUUAAUUUAAUAAAACUUUAACAUAUACUCCUAGAAUGACUCAAACAAAAAAAAUAAAGUUAAAAGAGGUUUAAAUUAAGAAAAAAGGCGGAAUGUGUUUCAGAGACGUCUAUAGUUGAGAGGUAUCCAUAUAUUUUUACCUAACUUUUAAUAAUGCGAGGGAAUGAUACGAACAAAUUAGAGCGCAUUUGGUUCAAGUUAUAUAAUAUUACAGAGUGUUCCGAUAUAUCCAUAUUUUUUAAAUUUCUAAAUGAGAUUAUUAUUAAUGCUGCAUUAGCGUAUUUGAUUUAAUACAGUAAUUAAUAUAAUGCUAGAUUGAAAUAUUUAUACUGGAUGAACUAAACGCAAUAAUUCUAUCAGAAUUACUUGUAAUCCUGUCAGGAUAAUUCGAAUCAAACGCAUCCUGUUGUACAAGGGGUGGCCAUAAUAAUAAGUUAAUGUUCCAAAUAAAAAGUAACACGUACAUUUUGUUACUCAAGCGAUAAGAUUUUUUAAGUGGGAACUGUGUAUAAUGAUUUUCACAGUAGUUGCAUUUUGGGAAUCUUGUCCUGUCCAUUUAUCUGAACGAAAAAGCAACAUGCAUAUGCUAGGACUCUCCAGCUGCAGAUCAUUUGUACAUAAGAUCCCCGAAAUCUAGGUUAGGAAAUUUUGUCAGGUUCAUUAACCAAAACCAGAUUCAUAAAUUUUAAUAUAUAAAAUUUAAGAUUAAUUGAAUGUACGGAUCCUUAAUUUUAGCGCAUGCAAGCUGGAAUUUGAUUUCAGCUUCCAGUUGUCUAAUCACCAAGCUACUGAACUAUUUGAUAGAUAGCAAAAUUGGUUCAAUAACUUAAGUUGGAAGUAAUACUACGAAGAGCAUUCUGUUGGUUUAAAGGAGUCAGUGUUUUGCCCGGCUGUGAGAGAUGAGAUUAGGCCGAGUCACGUUCGAAGUUUGAAAUAUAUGGAGAUCGGAUUGGCUCGAGUCAUGUUCAAAGCGGCAUGAGGCUAGAUGGUUCGAGUCAUAAUCGAAAUUCGUGAGUGCUGUAUUUAUAUGCUUUAAAAUUAAUUGAUUGUAUCUUAAUUUGUAAAAGUUUGAGCUUUUGAAAUUAAUAGUUAGCGUCGACGAUCCGGCGCAUUCAACUUCUCAAUAAGAAUAGAAAAUAUAAUUGGAUUGCAUUAGAAUGGAAAAUAAAAUGACAAUCAUUAAAAAAUAUUUUGUUCAUUAUUAGAAUAGAAAUCAGAUUGGACAUCUAGAAUUUUGAGAGAAAAUUUUGAAGAGAGAGAGAAAAGUGAUGAAAGGAGAGAAGAGAGAGGUAUUUGUGCGAGAGGAUUUUGAGUAAUUUACUUUGAGAUGGCAAAUCCAAAAUUCAAAUUCGAAUUGGGUCACAAAUAGAUUUAGGUCAUUCCUAUACUAGAGUGGAAUGAGAAGCAAAAUCCAGUUAUCAUAAAACAAACAGCAAUCAUCGGAAUAAAGGAAUCUCAUUUCAAUUCCACAAUCUAAGAUAAGUGAACCACACGAAUUCUUAAUAUCUUCCAAGAAAAGAAUUUUAUACAUUUUAUUUUUAUGUCACCUCAAAUGCUAACAGUGAAUCAAGAAAUUGAGAGAAAAACCAAGAAAUUGAGAGAAAAAAUAAAACAAAUAAAUAAUUUAUGUUGUUCAGCUAGUAACCUUCGUCCACCGAAAUAGAUGGAGCGAAAAUUUCUAUUAUUAGAGUACAAAAGAAUGGAUCUAGCUUUAACAUACAUCAAAUGCUCCUGCUCCUCCAAAAUACUACACAAUAUUAUACAUGGCAAAUUUAAAAGAGAAGAGCUAUAUUUAUAGAAAUAGCCAAGUGCAACUAGAAACCAAUUCCAAUUGGGUCACAUAAGAUAGAAAAGUAAGCUGAAUUCAUAAUCCAGUUAUUCUUAACUUUUGUUUCAUCGGACACAAAAUAUAUUUUGAACCAUCAGAACGUACUGUCAUUACCAAUACUAACCUCUACAAGUUUUUCCAUCACGAAUUAUGGGAACUAUCAUUAGCAACACUAAUCUCUACAAGUUUUAUUUUUUCCUGCUCUUACUGUUCUUCUUUUUUUUUUCUCUUUAACUUGAAACAUUCAGAUUUGAUAUGUUCUUUCUUCUUAUAAUAAUUAAUAAAUCAAAUCCUUGUGUUGUGACUUCGAUUUUAAUCUCUAUCAACUAGUGUCAAAAUCCCUAUAUUUGGGUCUCUCUUUCGCAAUAAGGCCCUUUGCAAUACCUUCACUCACAUUAUUAUUAAUUUGCUUAUCAAUCCUUUUUUUACAAAGAAGAGAUGACUUGAUAUCUUUAAUAGGUAGGGUCCUUUUACCAAAGAGAAAAAUUUCUCUAAGGAGCUUAUAUGAGGAAGCUAAAGAAUAUAACAAUAGAAAGGACAUCAUUUUCAUCCUCAAUCUUUACAUUUAUGGACUAUAGGUCUAUAAUAAUAAAAUUACAUUCAUCAAGAUAAAAUUUAAUGUAAUAUAUGUAUCUUUAGAAAUGCGUAGAAUAAACAAUUGGUGCUUCACGUAUAGCUUAUUUAUGGGAGACUAUUCAUCAUAUAAGGGGGACUCAGAGUUUCAACCUAAAGUCUCAGUAGCCUUUUAUUGAGCAUUUCACGUAAAGUGUCACUAAAGAGACACAAUUGAAACGCUAUAAGAGCUCUAGAAUCCAUAUCUUCUUUUGCUCCUCCGUCAAAAGUGUUGAACAUCAUUUUUUUUUUUUUUCUUUUUCCCCAAAACCUCUUUCUACAACCCCUAUUACGCUAAAAUGGUACACAUCAUAUACACAUCAUAACUUGCUACAUAGUAACUGCGCGCUUGAGUAAUUAAUCAAGCUUUUUGAUCUCAAAUUUCGUUGAUAUUUUACAUACCCAAAGUAAACUCCCAGGCCAAUAAUAGUUGUUAGGACAAAUGUCGAAAAGAUUUAAUUUUGUUGGGUGAUAAAAAAUAAAAGAAAAUCUAAAAAGAGAGAAGAAAAAUAAAUGGCACAGAUAAGUAAUAUAAUUCAACCACUGGCCUAUAUAUAUCCAUGCGCACAAAAAUAGAACAAAAACCUUAGUUAUAACUAAAGUGGAGUACAAUAGAAUGCUUCUCUCAGAAUAACCUAGCUAGUCCCAAAAUGCAUCAGAUACUCUUUCUCCUCCAAUAUGCUAUAAUAUGUUACACUACUAUACUACACACCAAAUUUAAGAGAGAAGAGCAAUAUUUAUAAAAGUGGCUAAGUUUCAAUUGGACUAGAGUGGAUUUUAGUUUAAGACUAGGAAUAAUUCUACUUUAUCUAAAAUCCCACUGGGGCUAAAAUUAUUUCCAAAAUGAUUAGACAUAUCUAAUUCCUAUGAUACUAAAAUCCAAUGGGAUUAGGAAUAAUCGCAGAUUAAAUAAAUAUGUUGGCCAAAAUAGAAUAUAAUUAAAAAAUCUUUGGACUUCAAAACUCAAGAUACAUUUAACAGUCUCCAUUGAAACUGUUGCAUCUAUUCGCAUCAAGAAGACAAGGAGGUGAACUAAUGAUCAGUUUCUUUCGCUUUUUUCUCGACUGCUACUUAAGAAACUCUUCUAUAAAAUCUCCAAUUGAGCCAAACAAGAACAGUACCUGCAAACACUGGACAUGAUGAUACAAUAUUAAUUCCUACUUGUUGAGAAUUGGACAAUUACUGAUUCUUUGUCAAUAAUUGUUUGAUCUCCAAAGCAAAUUAAAUCAUCUUAAUUAGUAUCCUUCUUGCCCUAUUUUAAAUAUUUCUUGUGCAACCAAAUUGACAAGAAUGAUUUCUCUUUUCUACUUUGGAAAGAAAGUGAUAUUUUUGGAGGCUAUACCUAUCUUUUCAAGUGAAAGAACACAACCAACACUGUAAGGGCCAAGUUGUGACCUUGGCAAUCCGGGACCUGCUCAUAAUGGAAUUGUCACUGUAGCCCCCCAAAUUCAAUGUCUUGCUCCAUUCAUGCUCAACUUGGAUUUUAAUACUCAACAAUUAAUGCCAAAAACAUUAUUAGUGUGUAAGAAAAAAAACUCUAAAUAUAGGAAAAAAUUAAAGCUUGACUAGCUAGCUACCAUCAUCUGCAAAGAGCAUGGUCGAUCGGAAACCAACACAAAAUUAAGGUCUCGUUUGUUAUCAUUGUUGUUUCUUUAUUUUUAAAACAUUAAAUAUUAUGUAAUUUAAUAUAUGGGGAAUUAAACUUUCUUUUAUUGUUAUUAUUGACUAGAUUAUAAUACAUUCUGACCAAGUAACGGUAGAUGGCAACUUCUAUGAAAAUUUUAGAAAAAAAAAAAUUUACCUCCAAAGUUUUAUAUUUUAUUGUCCAAUAAAUAGAAUAGAUAUAAGAGUUGCAAACAGUACUCUACUGUCCUCGUCUACACUGCUAAGAACUAUAUAUCUUAAAAAACAAAAAAAAACAGACAAUAAUGCCAUGCAAGGCCUACACUUCUUUGGGUCUUGUCUAGUCCUAUCAUUAAUAUCUUCUAUUUUAAGGUAUAGUUACUUCUAUUUAAAGGUAUAUAUAGUUCGUUGUUUUCAAAUGUGUAAAAAUAAAAAGAAAAUUUUACUAUGAUUAGUUUUUUUUCUCUAUGCGAAAGCUAUAUAGAUAUAUACACACACACUAUCAUAAAGACUUUUUUUAACAAAGAGAAAGAUAGUAAAUUAUUCGUUUUAUUUUUUAAAAAAAAAUUAAAUUUGAAAUAUAAAAUAAUUAGGCUUGAAAUUUAGGACUUGAAUAUCAAUUAUUAAGGUCUUAGCUAAUUACGUCAGGGACAAUCAAUAUCAUAAAAAUUUGAUACAAUACAUGUCUUAACAACAGUAUCACUUAAAUGGUACUAUAUCAAACAUAAUCGUAUCCUUUACUGUACAUAUAGUAAAGUAACUUCUAAUUGAGCCAAAAAAUUAAAAAGAUAUACAUGAUAUUUGACAUUCUUAUAAUUAAAAGACCUGCCCCCCAGAUUGAUCACCUAAUCAUAGGUUUAAUUUUUCUUCUAUAUUCAGUCUUGGGCUAUAGAAGAAACAAGCAAAGAUAAAUCUAUUUAUUUAUCUAUCUAUCUAUCUAUCUACAUUCAUAUUUUGACUAAUAAGGAACUCUCAGGAUCUUUCUAAACACUAAUAAAAGGAGGAAUCUUUAACUCCUAGAUUAACAAAUGUAGAAAUUGGAUUGAAACAUUAUAAACAGUAGUGAUUAGGUGCAUACAUAAAUAUAUAUAUAAUUGGGCUUUGAUUCUUCUGCUUGAACAUGGAUAGCUUAUGUAGGUAUUUGUAAACCAUGUAUACGUCAUGAUUCCAGGGGUUGCCAUUCAUCAUCUUAAGCAUAAAAAAUAUGUAAAAAAAAACCAAAUAUAUACAAUUAUGGUAGCUGUGCGAACAACAAUAGGACAAGGACCUAAAAGUUUGUUACGUUUUUAAUGGCCUAAAAUUCUUGUUGUCUAACGAAUAUAUUUCUCUCUCAAAAUGUAUUAUAUAAAAAUUAACUGAGUCAAAGGAGUCGAAUUAAUAUGAUGAUGCCACGUACGUGGUGUGUCCAUUCCUCAAUUUUGUUGGGUUUGUUGAUGUUUUUUCGGUGUUUUAGUUAUCCAAAUUUAUCUACAAAAGGAAAAAAAAAGCUCACAUAAAAAUAGAGUAAAACUAUUCAUCCACCCCAUCUAGUGGUGAAUGAAUAGCAUAUUUAUAUAAUUUAUGUGACUAUAAAUUUAUUAAAAUAAAUAAUUAGUUUAAAUUUUAUAUCUAAAAUUUUUUUAAAUUAUUUAAAUUAAAUAAAUUAAAAGAUGGAAUCAAAAUUAUCUAUAAUUCAGAUAAGUUUUAUAUAUCGUUACAAAAAAAAUAUGUUGGAAAAAUAAAAGAAGAGAGAGAAGAAACAUCUUUUAUUAUUUUGCUCUUAACAAUUAUUGCUGCAAUGGGAGGAUUUUUGGACGGUCCUCACUUACUUUAACUUGUUUUGUUACAUUUUGGCAGGUUUUAGUUGAGAGUAUCCAUCGAUUUUUUUUUUUUUUAUUAUUUUUUUUUUGGGAGGCUUUGAUUCUCAAGAUUAAUUGCCUCGCUUCUGUAACUUAGAUCAUAUUCGUUAUAAAUAAAGCAAAUAAUAUGCCGUUUUUUCCUUAAAAAAAAUUAAUAAUAAUAAUUUUUGCUGCUGCAGGACGAUCAGCUCUCUUUUUGUUUUCAAAUGGUAUUUGCUGCAAAGACCAAAACAAACCUUAGUAUGAAGAAUAUAUACACAAUAAAAGAGAAAUAUGCUUAGGAUUUUGUGUGGGUAUGGGGGGGAGUCCCAAUAAUUGAGCCCUCUAGGGUCAUUCUCGAGCCCUGUGUCAGUACCCGAGUUGACUCUUCUUUCCCUCCUUUCAGUCUCUUCCUGUCUCCCUCCCCACCCUUUCUCUCUCAUGCUCUCUCUCUCUCUCUCUCUCUCUCUCUCCUUCUCUAUUUUUUUUCUCUCAAUAACUCAUGCAUUAUCAUAUUCUUUUUAAUUAAUUUUUUUUUACUAUUUGGCAAUAAAUAUUUUAAAACCUAGAUUCACUAUAAGGACACAUAUUUAGAAUAUUUUUGUGUAAGUGUCCUAUUUAUGCCAAAAUAUAAAAAAAAAUCUACUAAUACUUAAAUAUAAAGCCCAAUCAAACUAAAAAUAAAAUAUUACUCUACUCAACCCACCCCAUCCAGCCCAUUCGGCUCGAUUACAAAAAGAAAAGAAAGAAAAAGAAAAAUCGAUUACCGUCUCCCUUUCUCCUCUAACUCAAUCUACUGAAAUCCUAGACGAAGAGCCCUUCCCUCUCGUCCUCUUCUGCCACCGCAGCCAACGAAGUAGAGUUCCGACGGUUGCUAAAUGUUUAAAUAAGUGUUGGUAAAUUAGCAGCACUCUUUUUAGGUUAUAGCGACACUCUUUAACUGUCACCAUAUAUCCAGUGACCCCACAUAUAGCAAUACUUUUUAAAAGUGUCGGUAAUUUUGCCAGCAGCACUUCUUUUGACCUGUACCGACGUUUAAAAGUAUCGCUAUAGACCGUUUUUAUUGUAGUGAUUGAAUAGGACUUAUCGCACAAUGACCUAAUAUCAAAAGAUUUGUUUCAAUAAAUAAAGAUAGGACUGACUUUCUCUCACUUUUUCUCUCUAACUUAUGUAUUAUUAUAUUAUUUCUACGAGUUGAGCUGGAAUACUGUCGGUAACAAACGGACUUCAUUGCCACUCAUUUGUUUUCGAUAAUGGAGCCCCCAAAUCGACGAUCAGCACCGUUGAAAAUAAUCUAUACUAGAAAUCAAAUUUCAUAUUUUUUCGAUAUUGUUUUCUUGUCCAUCAAGUGGGCGUAAAAAUGAACGACUGAAAAUGAAUAUCCUCUAAAAAGUGAUGAUAGAAAUUUUAUAAUUAAGAUUAAGAGUAUAGAUCUUGUUCUGAAUAGUUUAAAGAAUUUUAUAAUGAAAAUUCAAUUGAUUUGGAUAGUUUUACACCGUUAAACGAAAAAAUGCCUCAUAUCUAUCAUUAAAAUUAUAAAUUUGGAACCCUUUGAUCAUUAACCUAAUGAUGUCGAAAAGAUUUGAAAUUUGAUUUCUAAACACUUUAAGUGGUACAGAUCAUGUUCAACGGUGUCGAUCGUCGAUUUGAAGGCUCCAUCAUCAAAAACAAAUGAGUCGCAACAGAGCCCAUUUGCUACUGAUAGCAUUCCAGCUCAACUCUUAUUUCUACUUAGAUUUUUAGUUAAUUUACAUAAAAAUUAUUAGUUUUUAGUUUUUACAAAAGUAUGCCAUUUUUUAAAUUAUGCAGUUUCUGACCGAAUUUUCAGAAAACUGAACAAAAUAUUAUUAUUCCCUUUUCUCUCUCUCUCUUUUUUUUUCUCUCGUUCUGUUUUUUCUUUCUCUCCGAAGAGGGCGACAGAGGCGGAGGCGUCCGCCUUGUCUUUGUCCCACGCGACCUCGUCCUCGCCCUCUCCCACGCACUCUCCUUCCGCCUUCUUCGCCUCCGAUCAGCUGAGGCCACACCGCAAGCCUCUUUUUUUUUUUUCCUUUCUGACCCAUCUCCACCAUCUUCCCGGCUCUUUACAAUAAUAAAAAGGGCAACGUCACGUCCUCUUUCUUUCAUUUUUUCUCUUGUUCUUUGUUUUUUCUCUUCGACCCUACUCUAUCGCUUCUACGACGCUCCACGACAAUACCAAGGACAGUGUCGUAUCCUUUUCCCCUCCUUCACCGGUGUAGGCAUUGACGCCGGUGCCGGAAAAGAAGAACUCGGAGAGAGUGCUAGUGAGAGCGAAGUCGAGAAAAAAAAAUAUGCAGAAAAUAAAAAAAUAAAAAGAAUAAAAUAUAAAAUAUAAAAAAAUACUUUUCUCUAUAAGAAAAAUGAAGAAUUAGAGAAAGAAGAACAUGAUAAAGUUACACUAUUUCAGGAGAAUGUUGAACUGUUUCAGGAGGACGUACGUUGCAAUAUUUUAGAGAAAAUUUAUACUCUUUGAGAGAAAAACUAUACUUUUUGGAUGAAAGUUGCACUCUUUAAACUAAAAUUGUACUAUUUGAGCAAAAAUUACAUUGUUUCUCCUCCUCCUCUUUCUUCUCCUUCCUUUUCAUCUUUGUGUGUUUCUUAUGUGCCUAUCUCUUCAUCGCCCUCCACCUCCGUCGGCAGAUCCUCCAUUCUCGCCUUUGCCCUGUGCGCCCUCGCCCGUGCCCGCGCACCCCUCGCCCUCGUCGCCUCCAAUCCCAUCUAGGCCGCACCGCAACCUUCUUUUUUUUUUCCUCUUCGACCUUCCUCCACUGCUGGAGAGGAAAAAAAAAAAAGAGAUGGUCAGAGAGAGAUUGGUAGAGGAUCUGCCGAUGAAGGUGGAGGGCAAAGAAGAGACAGGCGCAGAAGAAAUACACGAGAACAAAGAGGAAGAAGAAGAAAUAAGAGGAUGAGGGAAAAUAGUGUAAUUUUUGUCCAAAAAGUGCAAAUUUCGUUCAAACAGUGUAACUUUCAACCAAAAAAGUAUAAUUUUUCUCUCAAAAAGUGUAUGUUUUCUCUAAAACAGUGCAACGUUCUCCUGAAAUAGUGCAAUUUCAUCAUCUUCUUUUUCUCUCUCUGAUUCUUUAUUUUUUUGUAGAAAAACGUAUUUUUUAUGUUUUAUUCUUUAUUUUUUAUUUUUUAUGUUCUGUAUAUUUCUUUCUCGGCUCCACUCACCCAUUUUUAACUCACUUUGAGAGUCCUUCUUCUCCGGCGCCGACGUCAGUGCCUGCGCCAGCGAAAGCGAAGAAAGAGAAUGCGGCGAUGUCUUUGUUAUUGUCGUCGAGGAUCGUGGAGGAUCGCGGAGGCGGUGUAGGGGGGUUGAAGAGAGAAAAAAAAAACUACAGAAAAAAAGAGAAGAAGAUAUGUGACGCUGCUGGCCUCUUCACUGUUGUAAAGAGCCGAGGAGACGAUGGAUAAGGAUUGGAGAGAAAACAAAGGUCCUGGCGCAAUCUCGGCGGGGUCGGAGGUAAGAAAGGCGGGGGGAGGGUGCGCUGGUAAAGUUGAAGGCGAGGUCGUGCUGGAGAGAGGCGAGGCGGGCCACCUCCGCCUCCGCUGUCACCGCCCUCUUUGAAGAGAGAAAAAAAAAAGAAUGAGAAAAAAAAAGAGAGAGAAAAAAGAAGGAGGCCUCCGCCGCCCUCUUCGGAGAGAGAAAAAAAAAAGACGAGAAAAAAAAAGAAAGAAAAAAGAAUAAGAGUAUUUUGAUCAGUUUUCUGAAAAUCCGACCUGAUUAUGUAAAAUUCAGAAAGGUGGCCUAUUUUUACAAAAGCUUAAAAAUAAUAAAUUUUAUGCAAAUUGGCGUAGAUUUUUUUUAUUACUUGCCAAUUUUUUAAUACCUGGAUCGACUUUAUCAAUCCAAGUGAUCGGAUAGUGACCUAAUACUCAAAUCGAUUCAGUUCAAUCCAUAAGAUCGAACUAAUUUAAAAUCUACUUUGAAACGUUCAGAUCGAUAGUUCAAUUACUCAAAUUUUUUAUUUUAUAUUUCGAUAAUUAGUUAAAAAAAAUGCAUUGGUUUUAAAUAAUUUAUGCUUUGAUAUACAUUAAUUAUAUAUAAUAUAAUAAAUUUUAAAAAUAAUAUAGAAUACCAUACUUCGUAUAUGUUGAUACCAAAAUUAAGCCGACCUAACCCACGUACGAGCCAAUAAGGACACGUGGUACAUCAGGAGUCGGCAAUAAGGCGCCUGAAGGACAAAAAGGCGGGAACGGUUGAAGAUUGGGGCGUAACUUCCAUGAGGAGUUAGCGUAAUUUCCAUGAGGAGUUAGUAUAACUUCCACGAUCAUGGUUACAACCACUCCCCCCAACUACUUUCAACCAACUAAUAAUGUGGGCUAUAAAUAGUAACUUUGAAGCUUGCAAUAGGGGUCUUUGCCCUUGCGCACAAAAGACCACCAUUAUUUUCUCUGCAUUUUAUCGCUUUUCUAGGAGUAGUCUAAAUGUAAUCUUUUUCUUUUCCGCAUUUACUGCUUUCCUAGGAGUAGUUCUUGUAACUUAGAUCUUUGGAGUCUGUCUGCCCUAUGGGCAUCACUCCUUUAUAGAAUUGGAGUAUGUCUGCCCCAUGGGCAUCACUCCCUUAUAAAAUAUACUUGGAGUCUGUCUGCCCCACGGGCAUCACUCCCCUGUUCUUGUACUUUUUCAUUUUCUAUUCAAUAGAAAGUCACGUUCGGCUAUUCAGGCCGACCAGAUUUUGUGUUGUGCUAGCCAUUCAACUCAUCUCUCAGUCGAAUUCUGGGCUUCCCCUCUUCAUUCGGCUCAUCCUACCGAAGCGAAUUUACUGCGGAGGUUUUCGAACCCGGCUCAUUCGAUCCCUCAUCGGCCUAAUCGCUUGAUCCUCUGUGGGCGCAUACUGCGAGGGUCAUAAUCCGCAGCCGUCUCGUAGCCCGACGAUCUUCCCAAGGAGAAUUGUUGACUGGGUCAAGAGUCGGGUCGUUCGGCACGCAACAAUUUUUGGCACGCCCGGUAGGACACAUUUUUGGUAAAUUUAUAUUUUAUAUAAAUUAUGGCUGAUGAUCUACGUAAUAGGGUUGUUCCUAAAAAUUUUGGGAGUGAUCAACCUAGUGAUUCAGACAAUGCUGGCGAAUGUCAAGCAGUUUUGCCAGUUGAAGGAGAAACUAGUGGACAGUCGGCUCAUCAAGAGCCGAGUCUAACUCAGGCACUCGGCCAGAUGAGCCGAGUCCUGCAAACUUUAGAUUAAAAUAUCCAUCAAAGUACCGCUCGACUAGACGCGGUGCUGGCCGCUAUCACGGCCUAUAAUAAAAAUAUUGCACGAAUAGGGCAAUUAUUGACUCGAAAUGAGCAACCAAUGACAGGCUUACAAAGGCCUAUGAUGACACCAGUGUUGCAAAAUCCUGCGACACCAGUAAAUGGACAGCCCCAAUACCAGGGGGCACCAUUCCAAGCGGCUUACAGACCGGCCAUCGUCAAUACCGGUCAACAGCUGGAAAUUACAUGGGGAUUGCCACUACCUCCGUCGAUGGCAGCAUACCAGCCCCAAAAUGUAGGGGUUAGAGCUGGGGGGCAGGCCCCUAAUGAUAUGCAAGGAGCGAACCCUGCAAUACAGAAUUCUGGAGUUCCUCAAGGGCCAAAUUCGGCUCAAGCACAAGCUCCGCUGUAUGCUCAGAUUGAGGAAGUCAUUCGGAAUACCUUCGGAGUAGGGGCUAGGCCGGCUAUGCGGCCUAUUUUUUGAUCCCCGUAUCCAGCAAACAUAGAUACAGAGCAUCCGUAUCCGGCAAACUGGAAAAUGCCGAAGUUCGACAAGUUCUCGGGCGAUGAGACCGAGAAUACGGUCGAGCAUAUAGCCCGGUUCACGGCCCAAUGUAGAAAAGCGGCCGCUGACUCAUUUUUGAAACUUCGAUUAUUUAACACGUCGUUAAAUAAAACGGCGUUUACUUGGUAUACGAGUUUAUCAGCCAAUUCCGUCCAAGAUUGGGACGAAUUGGAAAGAAAAUUUCAUGAGCGAUUCUAUAGAUCGGAGCCACAAUUAUCGGUCGCCGACUUGGCUUUAUACCGACAAAUGUCAGGUGAAACGGUCGAAGAGUAUUUGGACCGUUUCAAAAUAGCCAAAACCCGGUGCUUUAUGAGAAUGCCGGAAUCAGAGUUCGCCAAAAUGGAAUUAAAUGGUCUGCAUUUUAAGAUAAAAGACCAUUUUGAAGAUAAGUAUUUUUCUAACCUAUUUGAUCUAGGUGUUCGAGUUGCCCAAUACGAGCAAUUUCAGAAGAAAAGUGAGGACGAUCGGCUGCAAUGGAGCCGAUAUAAAAAUCAAAGCAAAGGCAAAGAGAAAUCCUUGCUAGAAGAACAGUCGGUUCAAGAAGAGCCGAGCAAAUCGAGUGAAAGUAAAGAAUCGGCUGAUGAAGCCAAGAUAUAGCCACUUUCUUUAAGAAAAAUUUCUUGAUAGAAAAGCAUUCGGUUCAAGAAGAGCCGAACUAAUCGAAUAAAAGUAAAGAAUCGGCUGAUGAAGCAGAGAUAUAUGUGGCUGGGAUGAUAAAGCGUCGUUUUCCUAAAGCCGACUAUGACCAGCGAAACUAAAGCUUGGGUCUUGGCUGUGCUUUUGAACAGUCGAUUUGACACCAAUAGUCAUCCGAAUGUUCAUUUGAAAGACUAUUGGGGGGCAUUGUUGAUACCAAAAUUGAGCCGACCUAACCCACGUACGAGCCAAUAAGGACACGUGGUACACCAAGAGUCGGCAGUAAGGCGCCUGAAGGACAAGAAGGCGGGAACGGUUGAAGAUUGGGGCGUAACUUCCAUGAGGAGUUAGCGUAACUUCCAUGAGGAGUUAGUAUAACUUUCACGAUCAUGGUUACAACCACUCCCCCAACUACUUUCAACCAACUAAUAAUGUGGGCUAUAAAUAGUAACUUUGAAGCCUGCAAUUGGGGUCUUUGCCCCUGCGCACAAAAGACUACCCUUAUUUCCUCUGCAUUUUAUCGCUUUUCUAGGAGUAGUCUAAAUGUAAUCUUUUUCUUUUUCGCAUUUACUGCUCUCCUAGGAGUAGUUCUUGUAACUUAGAUCUUUGGAGUCUGUCUGCCCUAUGGGCAUCACUCCCUUACAGUAUUGGAGUCUGUCUGCCCCAUGGGCAUCACUCCCUUGUAGAAUAUACUUGGAGUCUGUCUGCCCCACGGGCAUCACUCCCCUAUUCUUGUACUUUUCCAUUUUCUAUUCAAUAGAAAGUCACGUUCGGCUAUUCAGGCCGACCAAAUUUUGUGUUGUGCUAGCCAUUCGGCUCAUCUCUCAGUCGAAUUCUGGGCUUUCCCUCUUCAUUCGGCUCAUCCUGCCGAAGCGAAUUUACUGCGGAGGUUUUCGAACCCGGCUGAUUCGAUCCCUCAUCGGCCUAAUCGCUUGAUCCUCUGUGGGCGCAUACUUUGAGGGUCAUAAUCCUCAGCCGUCUGGCAGCCCGACAACCUUCCCAAGGAGAAUUGUUGACCGGGUCAAGAGUCGGGUCGUUCGGCAUGCAACAGUAUAUAUAUAAUUUUUAUUAUACAAGCAUAAAAAGUAAUAGUUCUGGAGUUAUGACAUUAUACUGAUUUCAUUCAAUUCAGCGGUCGAACUGCUAGUUGAAUCAGUGAUCUGUAAUUCUGCAAUAUUUUUAUCUAGUAAAUGAUUUCAAAUUUUAAAAUAUUGGUGGACAUAAUAUAAUGAGAUUAGAACUUGUUUUAUGUAGCUAGGAACAAUUGCUUAUAUAUUUCUAAAAAGUUUCAGAUUUUCUUAUUUACUCCGUUUAGAAGGCUAAUAUAAAAGAGUAAUGCUUCUAUACUUUUUUUUUUUUUUUUGUUACCGUUCAUUCAUGCGUAUUCAACGGCUCAGAUUUAAUUUUUUUAAAAUUGUGACCUGCAAUACCAGGUCAUUUUGGGAGAGGUAUCGGUUACCAGGUAUCUCAAAAAAGGGCAUUUUUGGCUUUUAAUAUAUGGGCAAUUUAGUCAUUUUACCUUUACUAUAGUUUACCUCAAAUUUUUUAUUUUUUCUUUAUUUCCUUUUUCUCUCUUUAUCUUUCCUUUCAUAAUUUGGCAUUUCAUAUAAGAAAAUUUUCAAAUGAUUUGACAAUACGAUCUUUUAAUUUUUCUUUUCUCUUUGUUUAUUUGUUUAAUAUUGCAAAUCAAUUUAAUUUUAAGAAACUAUGCAUUAAAAUUUAUUUCCAUACCUAUUGCUUUCUAAAUUUUUUAAUAAAAUAAAAUGAAAUUUAGAUUAUUUUGUGAUUUAAUUUGUAGUUAAUUUUUUUCUAGUUCGAUCUGCGAAUUUUCAAAUUUUAUCAUAUUGUAGGAUAUUAAUUUUGUUUAGUUUGAUAGUAAUAACUUGUUGAAAUUUGCAUGGCUAAUGGAUCAGAAAACAAUAUUCCGAUGGAAAAGGUGGUGGCAUUAUAAACUUAAAAUUGAAUUAUAACAUAUAAAUUUAUUUAUUGAUAAGUUUAAACUGUACUACAUUAUUUAGAUUUAUUGAAGAUUUCUCUAUACUUUUUAGGUUCUAAACUUUAAAUUUAUUUUGUUUCGGCUUAUAUUUUAAAUUACAAUACAUGAUCUUAUUAUUUUUAAAAAUUAAUUUUUACGACCAAAAUUUAAUUAAUUUUGUCUAUACAAUUCUAUUAUAAAAAUAAAUUUAAAUUAUACCCUUACCCUAAUAUUCUAAUCAAUUAUCUGCAUAAAUUUUUUAAAUAGUGAUAAAGAUUACUAUCUAAUAAGAAAAAUUAUUAAAUUUUUUUAAACAUAUUAAUAUGCUGAAUUUAAAUAUUGCCCACAUUUAAUUUUUUAAAAUUAGUAUACAAAAUUAAUGAUUAAGAUGAAUUCCUAAUUUUGUUAAACGUAUUAAAUAUGUUAAAUUUAAUAAUUACCAACAUUACGAAUGUUUUUAAAUAGUCAUACAAAAUUAAUAUCUAAAGUAGAACAAUUCUAAAUUUUUUUUAACUUAUUAAAUACAUUUAAAUUAUAAAUAUUUUAACCUACAUUCAAAAUUUUUUAAAUAAAUGAUACAAAAUUAAUGUCUAAACUAUAGGAAUUUAAAAGUUCUUAAACAUAUUAAAUAUGUUGAAUUUAAAUAUUUACCAACAUUACAAUUUUUUAAAUAGUAAUAUAAAAUUCCUCUAAUUUUAAUUACACUUUAAAAUUUUAAAUAUUUAUAUAAAAAUUAAAUUCAUAGUAUUUAGAAAUAGAACUAUUUCUAAAAUUCCUAUAAUUUAAAUUAAUGCAUAAUUUUAGAAACACUAAAACAUUUAAAGUAGAUGCCUAAAUUAAUGCCUAAUUAAUGCAUAACUUUGGUUAAUCAAUUAAUUUUCUAAAUUAGUGCAAAUUAAUGCGUAAAUUUAGGACCUCAAUUAAAAGUUUCUUUAAAUGUUGUAUUGUUUAAUUACCAAACUAAUCUUGAAUAAAAUAAUCCUUUUACCUGCUAAGUAGUAAAAUUACAUUUUUACCCUCUAUUAAUCAAUGGUUAAGAUUUUUUUAAUUUUUUUUAAAAAAAGUACCGAAUCAUUUCUCAACAUAAAAAAAUACUCUUUUAACAUUCCAAGUUCUUUCAUAUAUAUCACUAGAGUUAAAUUUUGUUAGUGAACUGUUAAGAAUAGUCAUUAUUUAUAUAAAAUUACUAUUUUGCCAUUUUAAGUCACCGAUUUUUUUUAUUUGUUUUUAAGUAAGUGACAAAAGAGGCAUUUUUCCUUAUUUUUCUUUCAAAUAUAUUCUUCUACCGUCGCUAACUUUUUGUACUGUCCUUAAGUUAAAAGCAAAACAUAUAUUUUGACUUAUUUUAACUCGACUUAAAAUUUAACUUGUAUUUAGCUUGAGAUGACUGAAUCGAUAUUAACAACAAAUUAUUUAAUGAGAAAUAUACAAUGGGUAUGUAUAUUUGAAACGAAAGUAAAAAUAUAUAAAAUAUUUUAAAAUUUUUGGGAGGCAUAAUUAUUAUGCGUUAUAAACUUAUAUAAUGGUUUAAAAAGUUUUUUUUUUUUUUUUUGGCAAGAGAAACAAAGAAAUAGGAAAGAGAGAGAGAGAGAGAGGAUGAAGUAUUUUCAAUGGGUGGGACUUUCGAUGCUUAACGAACUGAGUCUGAGCACUUGCCCGCUUUAAAUUUCGGGUCACGAGCGCAACAUGUGAAGAGGAGACUAGUAAAAAGUAGUAGUAAUAGUAGUAAUAGUAGGCGCGCGUGGGGAGGCGCGCUUCGUUUGUUGUUUGGUGCUCGAUCCCCCGCACUGGGAAUUAGAUUAUGCUGUGCGGGGUGGGGGGUGAAAAUGUUACGUAUAAGUCCCUCUACUAUCCUGAUAUUGCCUCUCAGUACGUCUCUGCACUUUUUAUUCCAACAUUAUUAUUUUAAUUAGUCUUUGAACUUAAUUUCUAAUUUACCCCAUUAUAAUCUCUAAUAUAUAUAUAUAUAUUAAAAAAAAAAGGUAGAUUACACUAUAGUUGCUCAAACUAUGGGGCACGUGACACUUUGAUACUCAAAUUUUUAAUUUGUUGUAAUUUCUAACUUAGUUUUUUUUGAAUCAUUAUAAUAUAACUCAAUUUGUUUGACUAAGUAUAAAUAAAUUAUUGAUAUAAAAGUGAUCGAUAUAGUAUUUAAAUUGUUAUCGCAUCGUGAAUCACCAUACUUUCACAUUUCUUCUAUAUCAAUAAUUUGCCAAUAUAGGUCGUGAGACUUGAUUGCAAUAAUUUAUAAAUUUCGAAUAAAAAACUAUAACAAAUUAAAGUUUGGAGAUCAAAGUGUCACUUGCCUCACAGUAUGAGGAUCAAAAGUGUAAUUUAUCCCAAAAAAAACAUAAUAAGAAAUUGUUUCGCUUCUUCCUUUAUUAUAUCUCUCUUAGUUAAUUAGUUUGCCCAAAUGAGUGCCAAUUUAGUACCUCUUCUAAUUCUGAAGUCAGUAGUGUUGAACAUACAAUAUUUGACACCAUUCCUGGCAGCUUAAGCUUUUGGUGACCCUUUUUUUUUUUUUUUUUUUCAAACUAGUAUCAGAUCAUGCGGUCUUGAAUUCCAGUCUCACCAAACACCUUGCCUUGUUUAGUUUUUUUUAAUCUAAUUGAAGUCCAAGUUUUUAGCUUAUUAAACUAUCUUACGUCUAGGCGUGGUGAAAAAUAUAGAAUAAUAUAAUAUUAAAUACUAUUCUCUGUCCUGUUUGGUUGGGGAACAAUGGGAGAAUAAAGGGUUAUCUCCUUCUUGUUUUCCAAACACUAAUUUUUAAAGGUGAGAAUAGCUGUUUCCACCCCUGCAUGGAACAACACUAUAUCCACCCUCUUCCUCUCUCCCAUCUUUUAUAAUAAAUUUUACAUUUUAUAAUUUAUAAUUUAAAUUUUAAAUUUUAAAUUUUAAAUUUUAAAUUUUAAAUUUUAAAAAUUUAAAAAUUUAUAAUUUAUUAUUUUAAAACUAAAAAUUAUAAUUUUAAAUUUUAAAUUUUAAAUUUGAUAUUUUAAAUUUUAAAAUUUAAAUUUAGUCUUAAAUUUAAAAUUUAACAUUUUAAAUUUUAAAAUUUAAAAUUGGAGAUUUAAAAUAUAAAUUUUAAAAUUUAAAAUUUAAAAAUUCAAAUGUAAAAUUCAAAAUUCAAAAUUAAAAUUUAAUGAGAGGAAUAAUAUUGUUAUUUUAUAUUUAUAACUACCGCCUAUUUUUUUUAUUCCAUCUUAUCUUUUCAAACAUUAUUUUUUUUGUUCUUGAAAAUAAUCUAAUUUUUAUUCAGGCGUAAAAUUAAUCUAAUUCUUACUGAUACCUGAACUUAUAUUUAUUUCUGAAAUAAACAGUUCUAAUAUAUACCUGAGUUUACCAAAGCGAAGCCUAGUUUAAACUUUUGAAGACAACAACUGUCUCACAUCUUUUAUUGAGUAGUAGCUUGUCUAAUAAAAUACUGGUUAAACAAAGAGGUAUGGAGGUACGAAACUUCUAUUACCAUGAAAAUUAAUAAAUGUAUGCGUUACAAACUUAUGAGCAGAGCUUUAUUUUGAUGCUUCUAAUUUAUAGAAAGGAGUUGUACACAGAAAUGUCAAUGGGUAUGGAUACUCAAAAUUUUAUCAGAAUUUGAAUCCGAAUGAAACGGAUAUAUCCGAUGUUAAAUGGAUAUAGAUUAAUUUGGAUAUGGAUAUCAAAAAUAGAAAUCCGACGGAUAAGGAUUUGGAUAUGGAUUUUGACUGUACCGAACCCGAACCCGACCCGAACACGAAUUUAUUUUGUAUUAUAUAUAUAUAGUCCGGCUGCUAUGCUAUCGAUAGCACCAAGUACUUUGUGCUAUCAAGUUUUCCGCCGUUAGAUUAAUCCCUUUAAUUAUUUUUAUCCGUUAGAUUAUACUAUUCAACCAACCACCCAUUUAACUCAACUUUAGGGGGUCCGAAUCAUCCUAACCGUAUAUUUCUCAAUCCAAGGGCUAAAAAUUCAAUAGCACCAAUAACUUGGUAGUAUUGAUAGUAUUCCAGCCUAAUUUUAUAUAUAUAUAUAUAUAUAUAUAGAGUUGGAUUGGGCUACUAUUAGUAGCAAAAUUUUAUUGUUGCUACUAGUUUUUUAGCCUUUGGAUCAACUCUUUUUAUUAUUUCUAACCAUUGGAUUAAAUACUAUAACUCAGUGGGGACCACUCAACCCUAGAGGGACCACUCAACUCUAACCAACUAAUAUCAUCCUGAUCUUACAAUUUUUCAUCCAAAGGUUAAAAACUUGAUAGCAAAAAGAGUGUUUUACUAUUAAUAGUAUUCCAGCCUAAUUCUAUAUAUAUAUAUAUAUAUAUAUAUAUGAGUUGAGCUAUGAUACUUUUACAAGUAUCACCAUCAUGGUGCUAUUAGGUUUUAAGCCAUUGGAUCUACUUUUUGAUUAUUAAUAGCACNUAUAUAUAUAUAUAUAUUAGAUGUUAUAUUUGAAUUUGUAUUUUAAAAAUUUAGAUUUAAUAAAAUAUAUUUUGAAAUAUUUAAAAAAAAAUAAUUGUUUCGGGUUCAAAUUUUUGGGUUCGGAUUCGGGUUCGGGCUUCGAAUUUUUGGUCAGGUUCGGAUUUGGAUAUGGAUUUUUAAAAUCCGUCCGGUUUGGGUUCGGGUCUCGGGUUUGAAGUCGGGUUCGGGUUUGGGUUUGUAAAACUCCACCCCGAAUCCGACCCAUUGACAUCCCUAGUUGUACGAGGAAUAUAUGAAUAUUACGUUUUCUAAAUAUACCACCAGCACUAUAUUUAUAGCAGAGCUAAAUAUAUAGAUCUUAUUAUUAAAAAUAUUAUUAACAAUGAAUGUCAGCAAAUAUCAUUAUUGUUUUUUAAUAAUUAUGGACUGUUGAUAAGUAAUCUAAUAUUUUUGAUAAGUUUAUAUUUAUUUCUGUCAAGUUUAUCUCUUAAUAUUUUGUUGGUUAGACAUAAGAGAUAAGUUUAAAUCUAGUUCAAUUAUUAUUAUUAGGAUUUUGAUUUAUGUCUAUAUAUAAACUGCUGUAAAUAUGUGAAAAAUUAUCCACCAGCGAAAUUUAGUUUAAAAAUAUUUAAUAAAGUUUUAGUUUUAUACUCCUCUCCUUUCAACAAAUGGUAUCAGAGCAAGAAAAUACUAUGUGAUUUAUAAACCAGAUGACAACAUAUUCGAAAUGAACAUAGUCCUAAUAGACCGGAUAGCUACGUUAAAGUCAAGUGACUCGUAAUUGAUUAACGAAGGUGAAGUUCAGGUGAAACCAAAGCUACGAAAUCGUUUUGAAGAAAUUGGCCUCCGCACAAUAAACGACAGCAGGAGGUUGUGACACUUGACGAAAAGAGAGUAAGGAGAGCCCAUGAAGAGAUCCAAGAAGAUUUGACCAGAUAACCAAGAGGGCUAGGCAAGCAAGCCAAAAUACAAAAAAUUUGGCAAAAUCUCGAUGAACUAAGAACGUCAUCUAAACAGAAGGUACAAAUCUGAAAAUUUUUUUUCGGAUUUUCAAGUUUUGUUAUGGAUUUAGAUAAUUAGUUUAUUCAACCUGGCUUACCAAAGUUCGAUGGAACGAAGUUUAAACGAUGGAAAACUAUCAUUCGAUAUUUUUUUAAAAUCCCAAGAUUUGUGGGAUGUGGUGGAAAAUAAAAAUUAUGAAAAAGAAUUAUGUAAAGACGAAUUUAAAAAGAGAGAUAGAGAAGUUCUAUCAUAUAUUUUUUAAGCAGUGGAUUUAUUGUUGGUUGGAAAAAUUUCAAUGAUAAAGACGACACGAGAAGCGUGGAGAAUGCUAUCGAAAAUUGGAGAAGAUUUGUAGGGAGAGAAUGAAAUUCAAGAAGAAGAAAUUCAAUCCAACAGCGAAAAUACAGAAGGCCCAAUUUGGAAAGAAAAUUUUGAUCAAAAUCAUAAAGAAGAUCAGAUUCGUGAAGAAUAUGUUGAUCAGCAGAUAUAUGGAAAAGCCGACUCAGAUGCAUCUACAAGUAGUAAAGCGUAUUUUACGUUAUAUAAAAGGAACGGUCAACUAUGGUAUUUUUUACGCUUACGGUGGCAAAUCCGAACUCAUCGGAUUCACCGAUAGCGAUUGGGCCGGCGACGUAGAAGAACGGAAAAGCACAUCAGACAACCUAUUUUUUCUUGGAAGCGGCGCAUUCACAUGGUUGUCGAAGAAAUAGGAUAUCGUGGCUCUCUCGACAGCAGAAGCCGAAUACGUGGUGGCAUCAGCAAGCGCUACACAAACAAUUUGGCUUAGAAGAGUUUUUGAAGAAUUUGAUGAAAGUCAAAAGGCACCUGCAAAAAUAUUUUGUGAUAAUAGCUCGGCUACAGCAAUCGCAAAAAAUUUAAUUUUUCAUGAAAGGUGUAAAUAUAUUGAAGUCCGUUAUCAUUAUAUUCGAGAACUUGUGAAGAAGAACGAGAUCGCGCGAACUACACUUUUGCAGAAGCGAGAAUCAAAUCGCCGAUAUAUUUACGAAGCCGUUGACAUCGGAAAAUUUCGUGAAACUACGAAAGCUACUCGGAAUGCGAAAAAUUGGAUUAAGGAAGAAUGUUGAUAAGUAAACCAAUAUUUAUGAUAAAUUUAAAUUUAUUUCUAUCAAGUUUAUCUCUUAAUAUUUUGUUAGUUAGACAUAAGAGAUAAGUUUAAAUCUAGUUCAAUUCUUGUUAUUAGGAUUUUGAUUUAUAUUUAUAUAUAGACUGCUGUAUAUAAAUGUAUGAAAAAUUACCCAUCAUCAAAAUUUAGUUCAAGAAUAUUUAAUAAAAUUUUAGUUUUAUACCCCUCUCCUUUCAACAGGGACUAAAGUGUAUACAUAAGCAAUGGUUCAAGGACUACAGAGCCACGAAAUUGGAAUAGUACAAGGACUAUUCAUACAUUUUACCCAAUUAUAUUAUAGGGUGGUAAACUUGGGGUUCACCAGUAGAUUAAGAAUCCAAAUCUUACUUAUUAAUCACAGAGCGCCUCCACAAAUGCGGAGUAUUUUACUCGGAAUCCUCUUCAAUUAUUGGAUCACUCAUAGAUGUUAAGUAUUUUAUAGUCAACAUAAAUUAUUUCAGGUCAAUUAGAUAAAAUAUAUCUGUAACUUAAAACAAUUGAGAGAUUGCCCUCUCAGUGGCUCAUGGCUAUAUCAAUUAUCAACACUAAUUGGGUCGUGUUAAUAUAUAUUUUGAGGCAUGUUUUCAACUAGAUCGAAUCUUUAGAUAAUAUGGUAUCAGAGCUAAUUCUAAAUACUUUCAUUCUGUGAGAUUGUAAAUUUAAUCCUCACAUUUAUUAUUUUGCAGGUUAAAUUUCUGCAUUACGUAAUAGGUUAAAUCUCCCUCCUAUUCCGUACUAUAUAAUAAGUUAAAUUUUUUCUCUUACCUUGUCUUUCAUAUCUAUCAUACAUGGAAGUAGAGAUGUUAAUUAUAAAAAAUUGAGUUGAGCAGAGCUGAUAAGGUUAGAUUUAUUCUAGCUCUGUAAAAAUCCGUCUCUUAUCUUUUUCUUAUGUUGGUUUUUUUAAAAAAACUUAUUACCUUUUCUUUUGUUUCCUCAAUGAAUUUUGUAGGCUUCACAAUGUCCUCCUCUUAACUAGAUUUCUUGUUGAAUAAAAAUAGGUUAAAUUACAGAAAACUACCAGUAAAUACCUUUUUACUUAAUUUUUCUCUUUGGCUUUCAAAAACCUAUAUUUUGCUCCUCUUAAAAUUUCAGAAAUAUUUUCAGGAGGGUAUAACGUUAAUGAAGAAGGCAAAAUGAUCAAAUUAUCCUCAUUUCUUUUAUAAGAAAAAAAAUAUUUUUUUAAUAUAUUUCUAUCAUUUUGAAGGAUAUUUUCGAUAUAAAUUAUAAGAAAUGGAUGGAAUAAUAAUGAAACUCUAAUGAAGGAAUGCUAAAUGCAAUAAAUUAAAAUAUUGAGGGAGUAAAAUAUAAAUUUUUAAAAAUCAUGAAGGGAAAAUAAAAAAUACAAAUAUUUAUAAAACAUUUUCUAUAAUUUAGCUUUGAAAUUAAAAGUAGAUGUGCAAUAUCCAGCCUAGUUUUUCCAUGAUACUUAAAACCAAGUAGAGGGCACAAAAGGAAUUAUUGAGUACAUGCAUGGACCAACAGUUGGUAAUCACCUUUGAGUCUUGUCCUCAUCAUGCAUGUCUGCCCCAACUAUUCAAUAAUAAAUCACUGUACAUUCUCUACAGGAAAACCAUUAUAUAUAUAGAGAGAGAGAUGGUAAGCUCCAACAAUGAAAUAUUACUUAAAUUAUUUUAAAAAAAUUUUAAUGAUGUUAAGUCAAAAUUUUGAUUUAACUUUGGCUGUUAAAUAUAAAAAUAUUUAAAUACUGUUCUCUAACAGCUUAAACUUUUAGAGUACAACGGUUGUUUCACAUGGUAUCAGAGAACGGUGUUUAAAUAUUUUUAUAUUUAACACCCCCCCUCACGUCUGGGCUCGAAACUUUUUGCAAGAUCCCUAACAAGGACUUGAAUUAAAUGGUAGGAAAUUAAUUAUGCUAGGACCUGACAUGACUUGAACUCAAGAUCUCCUACUCUGAUAUCAUGUGAAACAACCGUUGUACUCUAAUAGCUUAAGCUAAGCUAUUAAAGUACAACGGUUGAGUACAACGGUUGUUUCACAUUGGCCAAUCAAUUAAUUAACUAUUAGCCGAUUAAUAUUGCUUUAGCUUUUAUUACUGCAUGCUAAGUGAUUAAAGUAUUAAAGUCUUAUAUAACAGAUAAAUUCAAUAAAACCUUCAAAUUAAUUAACUAAAAUCGCUCAAAAAAUUUUAGAAUAAGCUCUAUAUAUAUAUAUAUAUAUAUAUAUUAUUACCUUAUAUUUACUAGGAUAUCACAACUCACAAGCAAACUCUUUCUCUCGUAUUAUUCUACUCAAUCAGUGACAUCACUGCAACAUACAUUAUUCGUGACAAGAGAGAAUGGAAUAGGAGAGUUGAUAGGCUGGGCCAGCAUUCACGUGGCAUUUUCACCAACUUUUAAUUAACUCUUAAAUAAAUAAACAAAAGCUUUUCUCAACACGUAUUCACGUACGUAUCCAUGUCAAAAUCUAAUGGCCAUUCUAUAUGGUCGAUAGCUAGGUUGAUUUUUUUUCUUUUUGUUUUGUUUUUUUGUUUUUUUGGUUCUGUGUUGGUUUGGUUAGAGCCGCAACAAGAAAAGAAGGGUGAAGUCUUUACUCUCACUAUCAUUGUUAAUGAAGGCAUCGAAGUUAGGGCUGCCAAUGAGGUAGGUAACACAUGAGCUAGCUGGGGCGACUUGUGUUCGCCCAUAUGUUAAAUAAGUCAAAUAAAUAUGAGCUUAUUUGUUAAAAUAUUAAACUAAAUAAUUUAGCUCGUAUUUGACUUAUUUAUUAACAAGCCAAAUACGAACUUGCUUGUGAAUAACAAAUUAGAUUGCCAACGCUAUUACUGAAUGAAAAGUUUUUAAAAAAAUUACAAAAAAUUAAAAUUUUAAUCUAAUAAUUGAAAUCUACAAAAUAUAAGUCUCUUUGCAUUUGGAUUAGCCUAAAAUCCAAAUACUAAAAUUAUAUAUAUAUAUAUAUAUAUAUAUAUAUAUAGAGAGAGAGAGAGAGAGAGAGAGAGAGAGAGAGAGAGAGAGAGAGAGAGAGAGAGUUGGGCUGGAAUACUAUUGAUAGCAAAAUAUUCUUUUUACUAUCAAAUUUUUAACCCUUGGAUGAGAAAUUGUAGGGUUAUGAUGAUAUUAGUCAGUUAGGGUUGAGUGGUCCCCUAGGGUUGAGUGGUCUUCACUGGGUUAUAAUAUUUAAUCCAAUGGUUAGAAAUGAUAAAAGGAGUUGAUCAAAGCCUAAAAACUUGAUAGCAAAAAGGACAUUUUGCUUUUAAUAUUAUUCUAGCCCAACUCUCUCUCUCUCUCUAUAUAUAUAUAUAUAUAUAUAGUAUAGGGCUAUUAUACUCUUAUGAAUAUAAACUUCUUAAUUUAUACUCAUAAAUUUUUUGUCGUUGGAUGAAGGGAUGUAUGGCUAAGAUAAUAAUGAUUCCCGAGUAGAACGAUAGUAAUCCCCUAGGGUUGAGCGGGUGGUUGAUUGAAUAAUAUGAUCUAAUUGGUGGAAGCGAUCAAAAGGAUAAAUUUAACGGCCAAAAAUUUACGAGUACAAAGUAAUUUAUACUCAUAAAAGUAUAAUAGCUGGAUUAUAUAUUGAGCCGAACACGAGCAACUGAUCUUAACUCAUGUUCGGCUCAUUAAAAUUUCAAGCUAAAAAAUUCAGCUCGUUUAUUAAACGGGUGAUCAGUUCGAACUCAUUUCAAGUUGAACACGAGCUGGCUCGCAAAUAGCGAACUGGAUUGUUAGUCCUAAUUAAUUGUAGUGUUGAGCAUAAAUUUUAAAAAAAAUUUUCAUUCUCACUUUGAUAACUUAAACAUUUGGAAAACAACAAUUAUUUUAAAUUACUUUAACAUGAUAUAAGAGCAGCAUUUGCUGACUGAUUUGAAUGAAAAAGAUGUAAAGUUUACGCACUUUUGAGUGUACGUAUAAGUAGUAUUGCUCUGUAUUCAAAUUGUCCGAGAGAAAGAGAGGAAAUACAUUAAAUGGAAGGAAGGGUCAUAUAUAUGGUUAAUAAUUGAAACAAAUUAAACUAUUACCAAAUAUAGAACUAACAAUUUUAAUUGAAUUAGGAUAUGUGUUAUGAUAUAUCCUAUAACACUUAUCUUAUCCUCUACCAGCAUUUGCUCCAAAACUCUCUAUUUUGCAAAAUUCAAACUUUUGUACACACUUUUUACACUCACUCUUUUGUGAAUGGAAUUUAGAAGUACUUCAAAGGAUGUUUUUAUUUUCUUCUUUUCUUGUUUAAAAUAUUACUGUAAUUACCAAAACAGAGUGGUAUACAUUAAUUUUUAAACAUUAUAGAAUAAACUCUCUCUCUCUUUAUUUGCAUUACUAAUUUUCCAAUUUUAAUCUAGACUUGUCAGAGGGGAAUAAGUAAGAUCAUUAUUGUGUUGGCCAUCACACCUUUUCCCCUUUUUUCAAGCCAUAUGUAUAAAUAGUUCUUAUGUAUAAUUGGGUUUAAAAAAUUAUUGGUGUGGACCUUGUCCUACUCUUGAGCCUAAUGAUUAAAAUGGUGCCUCCUCUCAACCAGCAGUAGAAUCAUAACUCCUUGAUUUUGAUGAUCUGCUUAUAUUGUAUUGUUUCAAUAACAGUACAUCUUAUGUUUUGGUGCAUUCCCAUUUCUAAAUUAUUAUUAUUAUCAUCAUCAUUGUUAUUAUUCUGCCUACUCUAUGCCAGUGAUUGAGUCCUCUCAUACUAAAUAAAUGGCCAAUUACAUAAAGCACACGCCCUUAAGAUUAUGUGUCCGUUUUUCUCUGCUAAAAAAUAUAGAAGUUUCUAGAAACCAAACGGUUGGGGGAAAACAAGUUCAGAGUUAAGAUUUUUUGUGUUUGAAAAACUGUUACUAUUUUUUUUAAAUAACUCUAUCAAACAACACUUCUACAUAAACAUGCUGGUCAACUAGUCUCUAUAUACACAUAAAUCAAUACAAGUUUCAAAAAAACAUUUAGUGAGGGUGUCAUGGGGAAAACAAAGGCCACUAUUCUAGAUGUAUGGACCCCCAAAAAAAAAAGGCUAGGGUUCAUAUGAAUCUCUUAAAAUCCAAAUGGUGAAGAACAUGUGAGUCCCUCGCACAAGAAUAUGUCCCAGUUGUUGGAAUCAACUGGGACCAUCUUUACUUUCAACCCCUUUCUCUCUUUUAUAUUUCUCUAUUAGUUUCCAACUGUGAAGCCUAUGAACUGUGAAGCAUAUGCUCUCUCUCUCUCUCUCUCUCUCUCUCUCUCUCUCUCUCUCUCUCUCUCUCUGCCCCUCUUAACUGGAACAUGGCAGCAUCCUAGGUAACCUACCAUAACUAGAACAAGUUGGAAUCCUAGAUUAGGGUUGUGAAAGCAUGCAUUAGUUUACCAUAAAGUAGUUUUUUUUUUUUAAUCUUUACCCUCCUUUUCUUCUGCUUUAUUGGAUUCUGGUGACAAGCCUUGUGUCUAAACUAAUCAAAGGUUUCAUAAAUAACUCUGAUAUGUUUUAAGUUGAUGAUUCUUCACUUACUAUAAUUGUUACCACUAUUCUAUUUUGCAACAAAUCAGUUUUUUUAAGGUUGUCCUAAACCUUGGUUCCAGGAGGAAGAGGUUGUUAUCUCCCUGCGGUAAGAAGCAACGAACUGAUUCAACUUCUAAGUAAAUAGCAUGUUUGGAUCUUAGGGGCUGUUGGUUGAUGUAGUUGCGACCGUACUACAGUCGCAACUACAAAGAGAUUCAAAUUUGAAAGUGUAUGAAACUAUAUUAAUAGGCUUAACUAUCAAAGUUGAAACUACUCCCAAAUCACCCAUAGUUCCAACUACAUCAGUUUGAACCAAAAAAUAAAACUUACCUCCCUAGUAACUUGUGAAAAAAAAAAAAAAAAAAAAAAAAAAAAAAACUACAAUGAAGGUAAUCUCACUAGUACAGAUAUAAAGUAAUAAAAUUUUAAAAAUGCAAUUCUUAAUAGAAUACAACCAAACAAAUUAUUUAUUAUUACAACACUUUCUACUACAUCCAACCAAAUAAGAUACAUAUAGUUACAACUACCGUACGCUAAGUGCAUGCAUAUCUAACUAUAUUGUAUUUGUAAUUACAUCCAUUCAAACGACCUCUUGGAGUUGGAUCAAGUAGCUAAUUGGAUUGGAUUAAGCAAAGAGCUUUAGAUUGUACAACAAUUUAUUUAUCCAAAAUAGAAAUAGUAUCAUAAAUAUGAUGAGCACCAAAUAGAUUAUCAUGGUUGUAUUUAUGCCUUAGUAAUGCCCACUAGCACUCCUACUAUAAUAAGGCUUUCAACUGGGAUGUCAAGAAGAAUGCAAUUUCAGAAGUACAAAACCACAUUUACUGACUGCCAUAUAUACAAAACAGACUCAUCGAUACUAUUUUGAGGUAUAUUGAAUCGACAAAGCAUUACUCUACUUCUUAUGUUUUCGUUAGUUCAAAAGAUGGGACCACGAGUUACAAACUCAGAUUGUAUUAAUAUCGAAAGCGAGCCUGCGGAGGUUCUUCAGAAGAGUUACCACCGCUUCCUGCUCCAUUCAUCAGGGAAAUGAGUAAGCGAAGAACAAGUGAGAUAGCUGGACCUCAAAAACAAAAAGUUACAAAGACCAAAAGGAGCAGCAAUAAUAGGAAAAGAAAACAAGAAGUCCAAAAGUCGCAAGAACAGGGGCAAAAAACCAUCAAUCCCCAGCCAUCAAUUGUAGGUUUAAGUCGCAGCUUGUAUCAUGGCACAACUCUUUUUGAACUGCUGUGUUUCAUAUUCGGAUUUUGUCUCGCUCCACUCGAUCCGAGAUUGAGAAGUCAUCACUACCAGAAUCACUCUUGUCAUGCAUCUACAGCCUUCAUGCUUGUUGCUGCUAAGGGCACGGACCCAAAAAGAGAAAUCAAGUCACUGAGACAUUUAUUCCUACCCUGUUCACGAAUCUUAAAGGCUGUCAUGUCGUAUCUGCCGAUCUCAUUCAUCUUGCCUGUUAGAAGUUGGAAAGACAAAUACAAUAUCAUACCACUGACAAAAUGUGAUCCGAUUUCAUUGUUUUCAAAUUGCAGCUCUAAAGUAGAUCCAAAUAAGUAAACAUAUAAAUCUAAAGUAAGAUGCAACUAAAGGUAAGGUCUUUUACAACCACGAAAAUCUAAAGCAAUAAACACCAGGAAGUGUAGAAUUGAUAACAUGUGAAUUGCCUUUUCACUUGGAUUGGGAAGCCCAAAAACUUUUGAGAAAAAAGGCAGUACUUCAAAAAAAUUAGGCCUUUGAUCUCUGCUAACCCUUCGGACAAUCAAUAUCUGUUUACCUUUCGGUACAAUGUGUACAUAACUUACAUCAACUAAAUAUCAAUUCCAAAAAUCUGGACAUAAAUAGCAGUCAUUAUCUGUUCCGGUUAAAUAUUAUAAAAGUAUGUCUACAUAUAUAUGGACCAAUUAAAUUCUUGCGUUAUGUAAUAUGCAUGAUGCAACUAUAUAUAAAACCUAUUUCAACUAAAAAGAUUAAAAAGAUAUACUACCUUGAAGCUAUUUAAAUUAUAGUGAUGAUUCUUUGAUAUAAUUAUGCUUAUGUAGGGAAGCAUAGUCAACCCAGAAAUGACAGUUGAUUUGCUUUGUUAGUCCUUCAAAAGUGAAUCAUCCAAAGUUCAUCAAAGAGUUGGUAUAACCAUAAGAUUAACUUUUUAUUUGAGUAGAAAAGUAGCUUCUCGGUUUGCCUUAGAAGGUACUAGAGAAAUUCACAAACCAAGUUCUCAGAAAUUGAACGUCAGUAUUAUCUUCAGGGCCAUGGAUAGUUUUCUAAUGCCAAAUGCAAGGCUAUGAGUAAGCUUCUAGUAUUAUCAAAAUGUUGAAGAACGCAAAAUGGAUAGAUUUGAUUUUCUGCCCUUCAGCAACAGAUUGUGUUCCUCAUGUGUAAAUGAUUUGUGGCACUUCUUUGGGAAAAACAAAUGAAAAGAAAAUAACCAACAUAAACGAAUCAGCUAAUCAAAAUGAGCCUAACAAUUCAGAAUUAAUGCUAAAUCUCAACAGUAUCAGUUAGUGUGACACCAUCAGAGUUUAAAAUAUUCGAAUAUAUAAGGUAUAGGAGGACUAAACCUCUUAACCUGGCUAUAAUAUUUUGGACAGUGGUUAGGCCUAAAAAGUUAAGAGGAUUACGCGAGCCUAGGACUAGAGUAGUUCUAGGUUGGGUGACUCCCUGUGAGGCAGAGCAUCACAGUAAGCGGCUGCAGUGUCAUUUUCAUGCUUCACUAUGUAAAUCAACAGCAAUAUCUGAAUGAUUAAGACAACAUAACUGCAGGUUAUUUUAAUAGUUAACUGUGAUUUGCUUUUCACCAGAAGAAAGAAACAGCUGAUCCAGACUUCAUCAAAUUUCAGUGCUGUUGACAAUGGCUUCUUCAGAUGCCCCGGAUACUACUAAAAAAUUCCAUAGAUACUACCUGAAGGGAAUGGAAUUUUUGGCAAAUGGAGUCAGGAUCCACUAAAGGACUAGCUAGUAAACAAUCGUCAGCAUAACACAAUAUGCCAGGCAAUAAUAUAGGAAACACAAAAAGGCAAUAUUUGCAGUCUGAAAGCCACCAUAGAGAAUUAAUCAGUAAAUUCGAGUCACCAGUGUAUCAUGCUAAAAGAGGGCAAUAGCUUAAUAGCUGCACCUGAGUGCAGCAACAAAUGUUGUCACAAUAAGAUAUUACACCCUCAAUCUUGAUAAGAUGACAUUAUCAAUCUGCUUAAUAUUCACGCAGUAGGUUCAGCAUAUAAUAUAGAUUCAUCGAACAGUGCAUACAGCCAUCUGAAGCUAUAAAAAUGUGUCAUGCAGACUUAGCCAUUUAUCUUUGAUCCAGAUUGGAGGAGCUCCUGUAGCAUUAGCACUGAGGAACGACAUUGCAAGGUCUUCACAAUUCCGACAACAAGAAAAUACUUGAGCAAAUGACAGCAAGACCAAAGAAAUGUGCUUAGAAUUCCAAACAGAAUGUCACAAACCUUUCCUGGGCAACAGAGUCAUGAAUAGAUGAUGGCAUAUGUAUAUUGCUCCAAAUACUUUUUGUAGAAAAAUGCUUCUUUUGGUAGAACCAUACUAUAGGGUAUGCAUCCACCAAACUGACCACCACCCUCCAUAUUUAUAUUGUUGCAAACCAUUCUCCUGUUAUGGGCAAAAUUAUGCAACUCUUAGAAACAGUAUUCUAGUACCAAAACAAACAACAUAUAGAGAUUAGAAGACUAUACUGUGUUGUUGCAAAAUGCAUGCCUACUGAUAGGGCAUUUGCAUCACUUUGCAUCAUUUGGAUAUAGAAGUAUUUGAAUUCUCUAAGUAUAGAAGCAACAGAUAUAGCAAAGAAAUAUACAACUGAAGCAGUCGUGACAACUGAUACAUAAUUUUAGUAAGGGCAUCGUUGUCCCGCUAACAAAUUUUCAAAUAGAACAGGAUCAAAAGCUUCCCGCUAUAGCAGAAGCAGAAGCAGAAGCUUCUACUAGGUUUCUACCUUUAAAAUCCAAAAGCACAUUUUGGGUUUCCGCAGCAAAAAGGCUCCAGAUUCUUUAUUUGCUAUAUGCUUGGUUUUGCCAAGCAAGAAUAGGUCACAAAAUGAACAGUUAUCUUUCAGUACUUACCCUAUCACUAUAGCAUGCAUGGUAAACAGAAAGGGGGAAAAAAAAUAUUUGGUUCCAAUAAAAUAUAAAUAAAUGUACAUUAUCAGAGAAGAGUCUUAUCACAUGAUCUGGCCAAUGCACGCGGGGAACAAACCCCACUACAAUCUCCGGUGCACUUGCCAUACUGCGAAUGCAAAAUCCAAGGCAGCACAAGGGACAAUUACAUCAUCAUCAACUGAAAAGAUUGUGCCGCUAUUAAGGUCCUCGAUUGGCUUGAAUCUAUUAUUCAAAAUCUAUUAUUCAAAUUAUCUUCCGCAUUCAACCCAAAUCUGAAUUCAGUGUUACAUUGAGACCAUGAGAAUACAAUGUCUCGAAUAUAUUCAAUAAGACUAGCUGGCGUUGGGUUCUUUGCAUCGCAAACUACAUGUAUUAGAUUAGCGUGAGUACAAGAUGCAUAAUCAGUGGCAUGUUACGGACAAAAUGUUUUCCGCUGACUUCUCCUUGAUAGUAGCCCAAUCUCCAAAAGAGCGUUCUGUCAGAGGUUCUGCUGGGGUGUUCUAGAAGCUUCUACGUGGAUCUCAAGACUGAUGGUGCGGAUGCUGAAAGGUCAAGAGUCCCUUAGAGCUUCUAGGUGGGAAAUAAUUGUAGUCUCUUAGGAGCUUGUAGCCUCCCUCUUUGUCUUGUAAUUAUGCGCCACUUGUCGCCUUUUCAUUUGUAGCCUGGGUGACGAGUGGCCUAUAUAAGGUUGUGGCCUCCACCCCCUCUCUUAGGAAAUCAGUUGCACUCUCAACUUUUAUCAAUACACAACAUUCCUCAAACUCUCUCUCUCUUGUACUUAGUCUAGGGCGAGUAGGUCCUAACUUAGCAAGUAGAAAGGUAGACUUGCUCAUUUCGCAAAGGAAGGCGAGUGUCGCAUGGGCUAAACAAACGAUUUAGCUUAUGUCCGUGACAGUUGGUAUCAGAGCGAGUUCAUUGCUGAAAAGCCAUGUCUUCGUCGGAAGCUACCGUCGGUGACGUUGUGCCUAACGACCAAGCGCGGCAAAAGCAAGAAGCCACGGACUCUGGCUAGAGAGUCCGCCUCGCUCGAGGACCGCAUGAGCAUGCUAGAGGACUCUGCUGCAAAAACAGAGGAGCACUACUCCGUCCUAUCCCAACAUGUGAGGAUAAUGGAGGAUGGACUGAAUGCUAUGAAGGAUAACGUUGCGGCUGCCAUGGCAACUUUCCGCCAUUAGCUCGAGGAAUUCCACAGGGACCUCGCCCGUCGCGAGGACGAGCGGAAGAUGCUGGUGGAGGACUUUGCCACCAGGGUCGACGAGGUCGAGGACCUUAAGAUACGGGUGACCAUAAUUAAGAAGGCGGUGGCUCGUGGCAUCGAUAUGCAAAACGAGGACACCCCAAAGAUCCGCGUCCCUAAACCCCAAUGCUUCAAGGGCAUGCGCGAUGAGAAGGAGAUAGACAAUUUCCUAUGGCACAGGGAACGCUACCUCAAGGUGCUGCGGUUGGAGGACGAGGGCGAUAAGGUCCAAACAACUUCCAUGUACCUCGCCGACGACGCAAUGUUAUGGUGGCGACGGCAUUCGGCAAAGACCACGAAGGGCCAAUGCGAGCUAAAGACUUGAGAAGACUUCAUGCGCGAGUUGAAGGCACAGUUCUACCCUGAACAUGUCACAUAUCUUGCACGGAGGCAACUUCGAUGACUCAAACAUCGAGGCACACUCAAGGAGUAUGUCCAAGAGUACUCAAAACUCAUGUUGGCGAUCUCCAACAUGGCCGAUGAGGAUCGGCUAUUGUUCUUCCUAGAUGGCCUUCAGUCGUGGGUGAACAAGGAGCUCAUGGCGCGAGACGUGAAGGACUUAAACUCCGCGAUCGCUUUGGCGGAGAAGUUGCCUGAGCAGGAGCGAACCGAGGGCGAUCGAAGUAAACCACCAAAGGCGAGGAAGGCCAAAGGUAGGGGAGGGCACCGCGAUCCAGGGGGCGCGAAGGGGCACAAGCUAAACCGUGAUGCGAGGAGGCAGCAAUAGAAUCCCGCCCUGCCACCUACAAAGAUCUCUUGCUAUGUUUGUGGCGAGAACCAUUGGGCGCGGGACUUCCCAAAGAGGGGCAACCACAAAAGAAAGCAGGUUACUGCGGUCCAAGAUGAGCAGGGCGUGGUCGAGUUGUCGAGGAUGGGCGCGCUAAGGCUCGUCAACGCAGUCCGCAGUCAGCCAAGCGGCAACAAGCUCCGAGAAGGGAGCUCAUGUUCGUCGAUGUGAUCCUCAAUGGAAGGACCAUGCGAGGCGAUGAUCAACAUCGGCGCGAAGCACAACUUUGUCACGAAGGCGGAGGCCAAGCAGUUAGACCUCACACUCAAAAAGGAUGCGAGCCGCAUCAAGACGGUCAACUGUGAACCGCAGCCAAUCGCAGGAGUUGCCAAAGGCAUGGAGAUAGCCAUCGGCCCAUGGAGGGGCAAGGUUAAUCUUAUUGUUGGGCCGCUCGACGACUUUGGAGUAAUCCUUGGGAUGGACUUCCUUAUUUCGUCCAAAGCGGCACCAAUGCCACACUUGUGGGUGCUGAGCUUCCUGGACGAGUCAGCACCGUGCAUGGUUUCGAUGUGUUGGGGCGAGUCGACGAAGGACCAAACUCUGAUAGCCCUGCAACUUUACGAGGAAGUGAAGUGCAGGAAAGCUAAGGAACUCGCAGAGGAAGACCUGAGCAGCGGCGAGACUGUCAAGUCUCAUGAGGUGCUGAAGCAGUAGCGCCCAAUCAAGGUGCAAGUCAUUCUAUCAAGGAACCCGCGGGGACCAAGGGGCGUUCUGCGGCUUGGCGGAGUGCGCGUGCGUGUCACGAAGGACAUGCACACUUGGCGGAUUCUUUGCAUAGCGGGCUCACUGGUGCACAUGCUCAGAGGGGCAAGGCACUAGGAGCUGGUGCGGGGGCAAAGGCGAACUGUGGUAGCAAGGCAUGAGGCCGAUCGAGCGCGAAGGCAUGACAGACUGUGCGGAAGGCUACGCGGACCAGGAGCAGCUCAGCGCAUGACGAGGGCAUCUGUUCGUUAGGUGGGGGAGGUUGUCACGGACAAAAUGUUUUCCGCUGACUUCUCCUUGAUAAUAGCCCAAUCUCCAAAAGAGCGUUCUGUUGGAAGUUUUGCUGGGGCAUUCUAGAAGCUUCUACAUGAAUCUCAAGACUGAUGGUGCGGAUGCCGAAGGAUCAAAAGUCCCUUAGAAUUUCUAGGUGGGCAAUAAUUGUAGUCUCUUGGGAGUUUGUAGCCUCCCUCUUUGCCUUGUAAUUAUGUGCCACUUGGCGCUUUUUCAUUUAUAGCCUGGAUAGUGAGUGACCUAUAUACGGUUGUAGCCUCCACCCCUCUUCUUAGGAAAUCAAUUGUACUCUCAACUUUUAACAAUACACAACAUUCCUCAAACUCUCUCUCUUGUACUUAGUCUAGGGUGAAUAGGUUCUAACUUAGCAAGUAGAGAGGUAGGCUUGCUCACUUCACGAAGAAAGACGAGCGCCGCAUGGGCUAAACAAAUGAUUUAGCUUAAGUCCGUGACAGACAGCUCUCUUGAGAAGAGAAUGGUACUUCCGAGAGUUAAUCAACACCGUGUAGCCAUUCCUAGAAGCAUAGGUGAAAGUUUUAAACAGUAUAAUAAUAAGAUGUAGAUAGAAAAGAAAAGCUACAAUAUGAUAAUACGACAUAAGAUCUACUUUACAGCCACUUUGGACUAUUGGGAAAGACAUCAUCCCCAUAAUGAGGUAUCAAAAAUCAACUUAUAUUUCAUAACAAAAUCUAUUAGGUGAGGAACAACCACAAGUUUAAGUGAUCCUUAAAAAUCUAUCAAUUAACUAAAAGUUGAUUCAUAUCACUCUAACAAUUCACUGUCAAGUUGACCAAUAUAUCUGCAUCAAAGAUGGCAAAGAGGAUUAAAAAACUUAUGUCAGCAGAAUGAACCUAUGCAAUACUCAGAUUUGAAAUAUCAUGUCAACAUAAGUUUCAACGUCUUUAAAGCCUGCAAAACGGAGAUGAGCAAAUUAGUAUAACUGAGGUAUGUCACAUCUCAUAGCCCAAGAAUUUCUAGAGAGGUAUAUCUCAUGUGUCAUGUAUCAUUCCUUACCAACUCUGUUUUCGGAUCAACUAAAUGCGCCAAAGGCACUGCAAUACGCAGGGAGGACUGAAGAAUGCAAGGUAAACUCAUGUAUUACUCCUUUACCAAUUCAUAUAUCAUUGCAUAUCCCAAGUGUUCGUAGAAAGCUAAACCGUUUAACUAAGGAAGUUCCAGAUUUGAACUUCUAAAAUUGCUUGGAAAGUCUUCUUUCAACACAAGAAACUGAAGAAUUCGAUUGAACCACAAACUGUGUAAUCAAGCGCAUCAGUAGAGGAGUAGAAGUACAUGGAAGAAAACCCUAAUGGAGGCACGCGAACCAUUCUGCAAAUGGACAAAAAAGUCCUAGUUAUACGUAGUCACGUUUCCUAGAAAGAUUUCAAAGGUCAUAUAUUUGCCUAAGCCUCCAUGGUUUGAAAGAUUCCGAAGAUCAUAUAUAUGCCUAAGCCUCCUUUGUUUGAAAAUUGAGAUGUUCGAUGGUUAUAUGAACUAUCAACAGCAAGAAUAACCUUCAUAGAUCUAAAAAGAACUCGUGAAUUUCUAUCUCAAGGCCCCUCUUCUGAGCAUUCAACAAGAAUAACCUUCAUAGAUAAUAACAUUAUUUAAUUCUGAUAGUAUAAACACCUUCGAACCAAAAACAAACCCAUAAAUGUUCCAAAAGAUAAAACCUGCUCCAUCAUCCCCUUUAAUUAGUUCAAAAAUCUGUAAAUGCAUACUUUGAUCCAGUCCAUGUGAGGCAAUUUCUAACUGCAUAUGUUGAAAAAUAUCUUUACAUAUCUCCUCUAAAGGAUACUACUGAUUCAACUCCAUUGAAAAAUAUGGCCUCCGAAUAGCCUUCAGUUAAUUACUCCUCUUUGUUUCCUUUGGCCACAAAACACCCUCUAGUUAGCUAACAAACAGAGAGAUGGCCACCUUCGAAGCAACUACACCCAAUCAUAAAAGCAGAGUUGACUACAUUGUACCUCUCACAGAGUUGGGGCUAAAACAAAGAUCAAAAUUAAGAGAAACUGAAUUAGGAUUUUGAUAAGAACAACACUUGAAUAGUAACAUAACAAACAUAAGACAAAAAUUAUAAAAAAUAUCUUUAUGCUUGAGCCGUCGUAUCAUUGAAAAUGCUGUACAAAAAGAAAUAUCACAAUAUUUUUCUCAUUUACCCCUUAUAUACAAGAUCUUUGAAUAGUAAUAUGACAAACAUAAGACAAAAUUACAAAAAAGAAGUCCUUCACACUUUAGCUCAUGGCCUUGAAUAUGCAGCUCGAAAUGAAAUGUUACAAUAUCUGUUCUCAUUAACCUAUACAAACAAGAUUUCAUCAAUUUCAACCUUGACUCAAGAAAAUUUAGAAAUGGUUUAAUCCGAAUGCACGACUUCACAGUAAUGAGUUGGUCGAUGGCUAGCGUUAUUUAAUCAAGUAGCAUCAGAUAAAUAUAAAUAAAUUUUCCAACCAACUGCCGAUUCUGGCAACUCAAGUGAGGUCAAAGAUCUCUUUUAUCUGGUUUUAGAUCUCCUGUUCAACUUGCAAGUUAGAUAGAUGUUCAGAUAUAGAACAAACUUAAUAGGUCAACUUAUUUCAGUCUAGUUUUGCAUCCAAAUUCAAAUAUCAUCCUAAAUGCUGGGGUUUAAAUGAGGCAAGGUGAAAUGCAGAGUUGAAAUUAAUAAGAGCUUUUAUUAUAGACACAUACAAAAGUGCAGAGGUUUCUAAUUGAAUAAUAUUGCGCUUAUAUAUAUCACACUUCCAUUGGUGGCAGUGGAGAUGGCGAACUAGUCCUGAAUGUCAUCCUACUAUAAAAUUAGGAAAAUGCUUUUGUCCACUUAGUUUUACAACUUUUUACUCAAAACUCACGUGGCAGUUUCCUGAUAGUUCUCUUUCUUAUUAUAAUUACCAUUCUGCCUAUAAAUUAAACCACUUUUCUCGUGAAUCGUAGCAGCCAUCCAAGUGAAGUUCUCCAAGACAGCAUAUCAGUCAAAUGUUGUAAAAUGUGUAUGUACAAAAUUAUAUCGACUCCUAAAUGACAUAGUUCAUCUGCUUUUUGAAUUCGUAGGCCUUGUUAGGAUGUCAAUAUAAGUUAUUCGCCGAUAACUUACUCAGCAUGAAGAUUUCUUAUGUAAUUGGAAGGUAGGAGUCAGAUUUUUGAUCCGUGAAAGCUUCGGCGUCCAUGAUUUGGUAUGAUAGUAUAUUUCACCUACGAUAAAAUUUAUCUUUUUUCCAAACAAAAAGAUAAAACUUGAAGGUCAAACAUACUAUUUUAUUUUAGAUAUUUGACCACACUCCUAACUUCUAAUCAUGCUAAAAAUUCUCAUACUCAGUAGGAUAUCAUUGGAUAACUUAACUUAUUUUGAUGUCCAAAUAGGGACAAGUUAUUCUUAGUCAUUAAAAUUGAUAAAAACAUACAAAACUUACCUGAACUAUGGACCAUUUUGAGUUAGCUACCCAACCUAUCAAAAUUUUAAAUUUACUAUCCAACAUUUGACUUUAUUUGAUUUGAGUCGUCGAACGGUACUUUGACUUCAAAUUUUGAAUACAUUAUUUAUCUUUACAGGUUUAGCCGGUAUACUGCAUACAAUUCUCACAAGUAUAAAUUUAUUAAAGUAAGUAAUUAGUUUAAAUUAAUUAGAGAUAAGUUUAAAUCUUUUAUUUGAUUAUGAUUAGGAUAUGUAAUUAUUCAAAGUAAAAUUGGAUUUAUCAUCUGUUAUGAUUUGAUGGUUAUAUAUAGUUAGGCAUGGGUUAAUUAGAUGAAUAAGGCAUAGUAGACAUGGCUGCAUAGGUGUUGCCCACAAUGUAAUCAAUUGCUUUUUAUUAAUAAAGCAUUAAUUUAGUUAUCUUCUUCCCCCUCCAAUAUCUCUUCUCCAUAUUAUUUUGUUCUAUUUUAGAUCUCGGGUUAUAUAAUCAACAUCAGCACAAAUACUGAUUCCAACAAUUGGAAUUAGAGAAAAUCACACUUCCAAUAAGUGAUCAGAGCAAAUCACGCUCCCAACAAGUGGUAUCAAAGCCGGAAAGUAUCAUAUGACUUAUAAACCAUAUGAUAGCAUAUUCGAAAAGAACAUAGAUCCAAUGUACCGGAUAGCUCCAUCAAAGUCAAACAACUCGUAGCUGAUCGACGAAGGUGACGUUCAGGUGAAACCAAAGCGAAGGAAUCGCUUUGAAGAAGUUGCCCUCCGCACAACAAACGACAGCAGGUGGUUGUGACGCUUGAAGAAAAGAGAGCGAGGAGAGACCCUGAAGAGAUCCAAGAAGACUUGACCAAAUAGCCAGGAGGGCUAGGCAAGCAAGUCGAAGUACAGAAAAUUUGGCGAGAUCUCGAUGAACUAAGGACGUCAUCCAAACAGAAAGGUACAAAUCUGAAACUUAUUUUUCAGAUUAUCAAGUUUUUGUUAUGGAUUUAGAUAAUUGGUUUAUUCAAUCUUGCUUACCAAAAUUUGAUGGAACGAACAUUAAACGAUGGAAAAUCAUCAUUCGAUGUUUUUUAGAAUCCCAAGAUUUGUGGAAUGUAGUGGAGAAUAGAAAUUAUUAAAAAGAAUUUGAUAAAGAAUUUAGAAAAAGAGAUAGAGAAGUUCUAUCAUAUAUUUUUCAAGUAGUGGAUCUAUCGUUGGUUGAAAAAAUUUCAAUGAUAAAGACGGCACCAGAAGCGUGGAGAAUGCUAUCGAAAAUUGGAAGAGAAGAUUUGCAGGAAGAGAAUGAAAUUCAAGAAGAAAAAAAAAAA
rnacentral:lncRNA from 1 species